rnacentral:lncRNA from 1 species
CUUCUCUCCUUCAAUUAGAGCUUGAUUAGUUCCUUGCUGAUCCAAUGGCCGAGAAGUACCACGAUGAUUGGGAAGUCGUCCCCUACAACCUCAACAUGGAGCCUGUGGAAAACCCCGAUGCCCGUGCUCUCGUCCCGGCCAACACAGAGUGACAGCUAGAAGCCAUGCCAUUACGCCAACGCAGCUUCGCCCAAUCUUACCAUGCUCAACCAGUUCUCACCGCACCGCCACAACCCCUACUCCUCAAAGGAUCACCAUCCAAGACGAAGACCACCAUCAAGGUGCCAACCGGCACAAGGAUCCUUCCACCUAGACCCAAUGAGAGGGUCGUUGGAGUCAAGACCAACCGAAGCGGCGAGAUCAGCAGUAUUCGCUACACUACGGAGGAGGAAAGGCCUUACUUUGAAGGGAUUAGAGCAGCCAAAGUCUGUUUCAUCCCUCCAAAGGCAGCCCCGAAGCACACUCUCAAUACUUUUGAGACACCUCCCAAGCGUCGCAAGACUAUAAUGGAUAUUGAUGAGGACGUUCGCAGACUAGGCAGAGUUAUCAUAGACCUCCAGUCCUCGAUUAAUUCCCUCACUAGGCAGCUCUCUAACCACAACACCAUUAUACUAGGCCUUAGGCAGGAUCUUGCUAGUGCCAACAAGAAGAUCAAGGAAUUAGAGCGCCGCUAAGUUAUCUAGAUUAGACCUUGAGGCAAUGCAUCUUAGUUAUCUAUCUUUAAAUUCGGUUUAGGUUUACUAUUAUCAUCGGUUUAUUAUCAUCGGUUUGCUAUCAGUUUGCUAUUAGUCUUUUGUAAUAAAUGCCUCAAGAUUAAUAAAGAGUAUUAUUAUUAUUAUGUCUUGUGUGUAUCUACAUUAUUUUUGUGCAAGAAAGCAGAAAACAAGUAUGGGGGAGAUCCCUCGACCUGCUAAACACACUCCGACUACACCACUCCACGAUUCAGGUACACACUCUGCACAUUUUACUUUACACGUACACAUAUCUUGGAUUAUGCAGAAUAUUGUUUCCGACAUGAUAAAUUAAAAAGAUUAAAAUAUUUCUAAUCAUGGUUAAUCUCAAUCUGUGAUAUUUCCUGAAAACUUGCAACUAUUAUAAAAUCAUUUUAAGACCUGUGUUACUUAAGUCAAUAUGGAAUAUGUGAUGGUAGAGUAUGAGUUUCUUAUUCUUGAUAUCAUUGUUACUUGAAGAAUUUAUUUCAAAAUAUUCAAAAUUCUAGCUACCAUCCUCAGUGUUUUAUAUGCCUAAUAAAAUUAAAAAUAUUAAUUAUGAUUAUAAAAGCUAUCUACUCUGUAUUGAGUUUGUUCAAAAUGAGUUAGAUCCUUGUUGAGAGAUUUAUCAUGCUCCUAAGAUCAAGACAUUUAUUCAGAAAGAUUCACUCUUCCGAAGUAUUAUUGCAUUAGAGGCAUGGGCUAUGCAAAAAUAAAGAUAUUUCGAGGAAAUAAAAAGGAGCAAGUGCUCGACAACCUCGUAGGAAAAAUGGACAAGUGUCCGGUAGUAGAAUUAGGGGUACCUCGGUAUUCACUUAAAAAAAAGAAAAAAGAAAAAAAAUGAUAGCCCAUGGUCCCUCUAAUAAGCAAUAUGCCAACAAGAGUUGACAAAGGUUUUUAAUUUUCAAAGUCUUUGAUCUAAGAGUAUGACAUUUCCCUCCUCAGAUCCCGUUUUGAUCAGGCAAUAAAUGCAAAUUAAGUAUGCUUGAGAAUUUUUGCAAAUUAAAACAACCUCAGUGAGAUAUAUAAAAGAUGAUGAGUGAUCUGAGAAGAACCUAUGAGGAUAAAAAGGUAUGCUAACUUUCUUUCAAAAAUAUACAAAAACUCCAAGUGACAGGAUUGAGAAGAAAGGAUCUUUACUCUUAACCAUAAACUCUCCUGACUAUGGUCCACAGUGGACUUUUCACACCCUGCAGUUAUAAAAAGAAUGUUUUAAAAUGUUUACCCCACAUAUUGUUCUUAACCAUCCUUUUCUCGAGGACGAGUAAAAGCCUAAGUAUGGGGGUAUUUGUUGACGGUUCUUAAGUAUUAAUUUUAAUUAUCAAAUAAACAAGAGAAAGGACCAAUAUGCAAACAACACCUAGAAGGGUUUGAUCUGACAGAAUUCCAUGAGUUUUGUUGUUUAUCUAUUUCUGCAGGGGGUUAUCAGGAAAUAAGGAAGAAAGGCCCACAUGUCAGGAUUACAUAGAGAUAUUAACGCACCGCGCGAUUUUCUACCAUCUAGAAGACUCCAGAAGCCACGGGAAGAAGACGGAGGCCGAAAGGGGCCAGGCCCAGGGCGCCCGCCCUGGUGACCUGGGCGCCCGCCCCCUGCUGGAUCCUGUUCCGGACUCUCUUCGCACGGGAUGUUCCACCGACCUAUUGGAUCAAGGAAAACAUUGUACCACCUCGCCUACCGACCCAAAAACGCAUAGAGGAGGAGGACUAUAUAAGGAGACCCCCUUGUCCCCUGGAGAAGACAAGAAAUUAUCAUAGAGAUUGAGGGGUGCCCUCGAAGGAAAACCUCUUCUCUAAUUAAUAUUUCUUUUUAGGCUUAGUAACCAAUGUAAAGUAGAAAUAGAUCUUCUAGUUUCUACUAGACUGAGAGAGAUAGAGUGGAGGUGUAGAUUGGAGGAAGCCCGGCCUGUCGGUGUCUACUCCAAGCUUGUACCUGCGGGAUCAAGUUCUCCUAACCCGAAGCUUGCUCCUAGGAUUCUUCAGUAAUUCGACUUCUAAAUUCUAAUAAGUUCUUGUUUUAUUGUUCUUAUGGUUUAUGAGUUUACUUUAAUAUCUUCGCGUAGAGUUUAGAGUAAUCAUUGCUGGCGUAAACGUUGUGUUUAGGCUGGGGUACUCAUAGAUAUUCCCUGACUAGCUGGACCAUAGUAGUAGUGAGGAACGUGACAAUUCCGAGUUACCUUUGCAGACCAUAUCUCGUUAGCAGGAAGGAUAGGGUUUAUAGGUGCGGGUUGAACAUCCUUUGUGGUGUCUAGAUUCCGUUGGCCUCCCCAUUAGAACAGUAGAUCAUCCUUACCAAGGUUAGAAGGAGACUACGGUUGCAGUCUUCUCUAUUUAUCACUCACAUCGAGAGACAUUCUUUGUGCCUAAAGGGUUAGUAGUAAUAGACCGGUUAGUCAGAUGCACUCUUUCUCCUAGUGGUAAAAAAAUAAAUACAAGAAUACAAAAUUAGGCAGAAAAGAAAACAAAGGAAUUUCGAGCAUAAAAAUAAGCAAAUAUUCACAAAUCUUAAGACCACUCAAGCCAUAGUGUUUACUUAAGAUAAGUAAUGAGUACUUUACAACGGGUCUUAAUACCCAGAAUAGGCUCGCAGGCCUUAGUCCACAUCUCUGCCCUCACCACCAUCAUCUGCGUCUGGGCUAGUCUCGGGAGGAAGUACCUCCGGCUCGAACAGCUUCGCCAGCCUUUCCCCAGGGACCUCUGCGUCGUCGAUCAAGGCGUGGAGCCUCUCCUCAUUCUCAGCGUCGGUCUUGGAAAUGUCGGUGACGAAGCCAUGGGACACCACCUCCAUAUCGUAGGAGAAGCCCGAGCAGACAUCCGCCAUCGCUCGCUACACCCCGGUAUGAAGGGCGUCCCGCACUCGAUCCCUCAGCGUGGCACCUAAGUAGCACAGCUGGUCGACCAGUGCAUCACCUCGUGCCACCUCCCUCGAAUCAUCCACAGGCUCGAGCUCCCAGGAGGCCGAAAGGUCGCUUAUCGCAGUCCUUAGUCGACCAUUCAAAGCUACCUCCCCCUCGAGCUGAGCCAUGGUGGAACGGGCCUCAACUUGGGCGGCCAGGAGAUCAUCCUUAAGCCCUACAAACAUCGACAUGAGAAAGUUAAGCAACAUAAAGGAUAUGCCUUGCAAACGAAAUGCGCAAGUAUAAAGAAACCUACCGCGAAUCCUUCCUUUGAGGGCCGUGUUCUCACCGACUAAAUCAGUAUUGGCCCUCUCGAUCUCAUUAUAAGAACGGGCCAGAUCAGUGUUUGCAGCCCGCAAGUCCUCGAUCAUCUUACCCGCCUGUAAGAUGGCUCCAUCCUUCUCCAGCAGCGCUCUCCUCAAACGAUCGACAUCGUCAAAAAUGCUGCAAGAGCGAGCUCGCUCCGCCUCGAGGUCCUCCCGGGCCAUCUUCCCAGCCUCCUCCGCGGUGCUCCGAGCGAUCUCGCUCUUCACGCACUCCUCCUUUAUCUCUCGAUAGGCCUCCCAGGCAGAGGCAAGUUCCGACUUGACAAGGCUCUUCUCCUUAUCGAGCUCAGCGGCCACAUCUUUGUAAUGCGCGGCCUCUACCCGGGCGUUGGACGCAGUCUCCUCAGCCGACGAGGUCCGCGCCCUCAGCUGCACGGCCUCUUCUAUUGCCUUCUCUGAGGCCUCCCGAGCCUUGGCCAGGACAACCUCCCUUUCCUUCUUCUCCUCCUCAGCCGCCAUAAGGUCCUUGUAGGCCUGGAGAAGCUUCUUCUGCGACUCCAGGAGUUGGUCCUUGAGAAGAGGGAGCUAUUCCCAACAGCCUCUCGUCGCGUGAAUAAAACCCGACUUUAGGCAGGAGGUCUCCUUCAGGUCCUGCAGCAAGUAGCUAAACAAUAAGAAUACAAGACUAAGUGCCCAAAUAGCUAAGGUCCAAAGAUACUUAUGAAAUAAGCUUGACCAAGCCCGUUGUUGACAAUAUCGGACAUAAGUCCCACAACGUGCUUCGUCCAGAGAUGAACCUCCUCAAGAUGCUCCCACUUCUUCGCCUCCUUCUGGUCGUCCAUCAUGAUGUUGGGCUCCUCUGGAUAGGUAGAGGCUCAAAGGCGGAUUCUCCCAGGGCCCCAGUUCUCCAUCUCCUCCUCCAUACGCGCCUUGAUGCCCCGGAUGAGCUCUUGAAUAGUCUCAAGCGACCCCCCCCGUGGCGCAAGAACAGGUCGACAUGGGAAGGAAACCAAAUGUCAUCAUCCACCGUCCUCCAGGUCCCUGUCUCGCCAGUAUCACCACCACCAGAGGUCCCGGCCUCAUCAUCCCCGACAGUGCUAAGAUCCACCCACAGCCGUCGAUCUCGAAGGAACCCGGGAGCAAUCCCCUUGAUACCAUAGAUGGUGCCCUUGAUCUCUGACUGGGGGUCAGCUGGAGUGCGCAUGGCGCAAGCAAGCGCCACCACACCGUCAGCCCUCCCAGUCUCAGCCAGGAUGGAGGCGGGCCCCCCUGGACGGAGCCAUGUGUUGACGGUCCUUAAGUACUAAAAUUAAUAAUCAAAUAAACAUGAAAAAGGAUCAAUAUAAAACAAACAUCUAGAAUUAGGGUUUUAUCUGACAGAAUUCCACGAGCUUUGGUGUUUAUCUAUUUCUGCAGGGGUUUAUCAGAAAAUAGGGAGAGAAGGCCCACAUGUCAUGUUUACAACGAGAUAAUUACGUGCCGCGCAAUUUUCCUCAAUCUAGAAGGAUCCAGAAGCCACGGGAACGAACGGGACGCGAAUCGGGCUCGGGAGCUGGGCGGACGCCCACCCCCCUUGGGCGCCCGCCCUGGCCAGGAGUUGGAUCAGGACUCUCUCUCGGGACAAGACUCCAGUGACCUAAAGGAUCAAUCUAAACCAUACAAUCUAUGUCGGUUUGAUCCAAUGGCUCACGUUCACUUGAGGGGACUAUAAAACCAGACCCCCUGGCCCCUGGAGGAGGAGAGGAGAAAUCAUUAUUCAGAGGUAGCCAUCAAAGUUAGGGUUUAGAUCUCUCUCCCGCAGAGAAUUAGAAUUAGCUACUCCCUAAUCCUUCAAGUUUAGAGGUUGAUUAGAUAGCAAUUAGAGAAGUAGAGCACUACGCUCUGGAUUCGGAUCUUCGGUAAUAAAGAUUGGUAUUAUUCAUAUCUGUCUCUAAUUCUUUGUUCUAAUUGCAUUAUGUCUCUAAUUAUUAUGUUCUUAGUUUGCUCUAGUUCUAUAUUUGAUAUAGUUCUAAUUGAUAAUGAGUUUAUGUAUAAGUUUGCAAAGCGCUUAGCUCUUGACGCGAGGGAGUUAGGUGAUAGAUCACAUGUGAGCGUGGUGCUUAGAUGUUAUUUAUCUGCAAAUGUAUCCUAUUGGCCGAGUCGUGUGGUAGUUCGCAAUAGUGACAGCUUCGUUGAUUCUUAUAUAGUCCACCCUCCGUUGAUAGGACAGGCAGAACCGGUAUUGUGGAGUAAGUCAUGCGAUGUUCUGAUUUACUUUAUCAAUGUUCCUUAUACAUGAAUGAAGAGUCUUUUAUGCUAUAUAUGAUCUUGUAGAUAACUAGAGUAGAUUAUGACUUAGUAGUUAGUAGAUAACUUAGAAUCCAUUCUCUAGCUAAUCCGACAUCACCUACAUAUAUGAGGAGUAGUCUAUUUUCUAAUCGCUGUGUUAUCUACCCAUGAACUUAUACUUUAUUAUCAUUAUCUUUAUGGUUUACCCCCUGCUGAAGUAAGUGACUGUGUGACGAGUUUCUCAUUAGUAAUCAUGUUCUUGCAAGUUUAUCUCUAGUCUAUGCCUUGAUAGAUUUUGUCCCUUGAUUUAAUUCUAUCUUCUUGAGAUCCCUAGAGCAAAAUUAUAAAUAACGAUACCUGGAAUACUUAUCCUGGUGAAAUGCUACAAUGAGGUGUUUUAUCUGUGCGCUUGCGGAUAGAAUAGAUUAUUUUCUAGAGAGCCUUUACAUUUAUAAAUACCUUUGUACACUCUGGCGCCAUGCUAGGGAUGACAACCUAGUAUCUAAGUGGUGUUAGCUAGUGUCAACAAGCAUUUCUGGCGCCGUUGCCGGGGAUACUUAUAGGAAUUAUAUGAGUCUCAGGAUUAAGUCAUUAAAGGGAACAAAAGGGUAAUAUUAAGGAAAGCCAGAAAAUCAAUCAAGGUUAUUCAUAUAAAACAUUAGACUAGACUAUAGAGAAAUAAUUGCAUAAAACAGCUACUAAGUGAGAAAUCAUAACAAGGCACCUCUGCUUUGGCAGGUUCACCCUGUUGUUUUUCUAUGUUUAUAUUUUUAUACAGGGUAUAACAGGAUUGACUUUGGGUACAUUCAACUCUUCAUCAUCAGAACCAAAGCAAUCAAGAGAAGAAGAAGCUAGCUACCAAUUGCUGAAGCUAUGGCACAAAAGACCUUGCAAGAAUUCUCUGCUCCAAGUCUUGACAACAUUCCAAUUGGUCCAAGAUUUGCAGUAGAAGAAGGAAUACCUGAGUUUGAGCUCAAGUCAAGCCUUAUCAAUUUGGUACAAGCUACACAAUUCAGUGGAAAGGCACAUGAAGAUGCCAGUGCACACUUGCAGAAUUUCUUAGAGAUUGGAAGCACAAUCCACAUCAACAGAGUUGACAAAGACGUCAUACUACUUCGCCUUUUUCCAUUCUCACUAGAAGGAAAAGCGAGGAAGUGGUUCUACACUCAUCAAGAUAAUAUCAACAACUGGACGAACUUGUCAGAUGCCUUUCUAUCAAAGUUUUUCCUAUAGGCAAAACAACUGCCUUAAGAGGAAAUAUUGUCAGUUUCCAAUAGCAGAAGACAGAAGCCAUUUCAGAAGCAUGGGAGCGUUUUCAAGGAUACAUAUCAGAUUGUCCUCACCAUGGAAUGGCUACAUGGUUACUUAUGCAGACCUUCUACCAUGGAUUAACACAGAAGGCUCGUGAGUGUCUAGAUGCAUCUGCUAAAGGAUCAUUCUUGGAGCUUACAACUGGAAAAGCAGAGAUACUUUUGGAUAAGAUAGCAGAAAACCAAAGCUGGUUACAAGAUAAAGCUCAACAUUGUCAUCAAACUGAAGAAAUACCAGAAGAAGUAAAUGCGUUAUCAACUAAGAUGGAAAAUUUGCUCCAUUGGAUUGACCAGAGGGCUAAGUUCAAAGAAGAUCAAAGGGCCAUUAAGACAGCAUACAAAUAUCAACCAACUUCGAGUCAACCCAAUAGCAAAGGUAUGAAUUCAGGUAAUAUUUUCAAGCAACUUUCAUUAAAAGAGAUAAUUGCUCAACAAACCAAAAUUAAUGAUGAAGUUAAACAAAGGCUAGAUACAAAUGAAUCAUCUCUAAAAGAUAUAUACAAUAAAAUGGAUUUUCUACUAACUGCCUUUGAUGAGCAAAACACUCUUAAUAAAAGGGUAGAGCUUAAAUUAAUAAAAUUAGCUGCUGCACUGCCUGUUGCUACUAACAUUGAGCAGGUAAAGAAUAUAACUACUAGAGGAGGCAAAGCCACCAGAGAUCCACCAUACCCAAAAGAGAAACAAAGAACAUCAGCACCAGUGCAACCAGCAGUGAUAGAAGAAGAAAGCCCAGUUGAAGCAGAAGAUCUGCUCCAACCACCAAGAACUGGAGAAAUGAGGAAAGAUUUUUACGACACCAACUAUUUGCCAUUUCCCAGAAGAAACAGAGGACUGCAGUCGGAUGAGCAGUUUGGUAAGUUUGUAGAGGUCAUUCAGAAAUUAUAUGUCAACAUACCUCUGCUCGAUGCCAUACAGGUACCUACAUAUGCAAAGUACAUCAGAGAUAUUCUUAACAAGAAGAGACCACUGCCCACCACUGAGGUUAUCAAGCUGACAGAAGAAUGUAGUGCAGCCAUCCUCAACAAGCCACCAAAGAAGAAGGAAGACCCAGGAUGUCCCACUAUUGAUUGCUCGAUCGGAAACCAACACUUCAACAAUGCACUUUGUGAUCUCGGAGCAAGUGUCAGUGUGAUGCCAGCAUCAGUCUACAAAAAGCUUGAGCAUGCGACCCUAGAACCAACAUCAAUGUGUCUACAACUAGCGGAUCAAUCGGUUCGACACCCGCUGGGCGUCACCGAGAACAUUCCAGUCAAGAUCAGAGAUUUCCUGGUGCCAGUAGACUUCGUAGUACUGGACAUGAGUCUUGACUCAAAAGUGUCCAUCAUCCUUGGAAGGCCAUUUCUGAGCACUGCCAAUGCCCACAUUGAUGUCGGGAAGGGAGAAAUCAAGUUCAACAUAAACGGUCAAGAAGAACACUUCACAUUCAAACCCAGACCAGAGAGAGACUCUACAGUGAAGGAAGUUCAUGAAGAACCACUGGAGACACCAUCUCCAGAGGAAGGAAACUCAGAAGAUUAAAAAAUUUGGAGGUCCAGCUUGGGGGACCUAAAAAUCCCAAACCCUCACCGGGAGGUAAAUCGGUAUUUAUCCGCAUUAUUAAUUUUCUCAUAUUUAACUUCUUGCAUAAUUAAUUCUUGCAUUAGUCAUAGCAUAAUUAUAAUAAUCAAAAAUCCCCAUAUAAAUAAUAUUUGUGGUGUGUAACAACCCAUAUUUAUUAAUUAUUGUGGAGGCACAAAAAAAUAUUUUCCAUUAUCAUUUUCAAUUAGUUUCAAUUCUCAUAGAUUUUCCUGCAUUAUAUUUAUUUAUAUUGAUACUCUAGAAGCAUGACCCACACUCUUUGGGUCCCACAUGUCAUACACUUCACCUCACAUACAUCCCAUCACAUAAUUUCAUCCACCAAUAUGUUUCCACUCACCUGACAUCUUUCCACCGUCCAACCACCACCAACACAACAUUAUUUUGCGUAAGAUCAAAGCAAGGAAGCAAGUGGAGGAGGCACACCCAGGAUGGGCACCAGGAGUGGGCGCCCGCCCACCUACCUUGGGCGCCCGCCCUGUCCCCUGCUCAGCCUAUAAAAGGCCACCUCCAGCUCCCUUUCUCUUCACACAAACACUUCAGAAACCACACACAACUCAGUUUCCCGAGAAGGAGCUUUUGUAGUGAAGAGAAGAGAGUAGAGAGAAAGAGGAGAGUGGAAGGGAAAGGUUGGAGUUCUUUUGAGAGAAUGAUUGUCACCUAGCAAGUAGUGAUCCCGUUGUCGAAGCGGAAGUAAAAGUUGUUUAGGGGGAAGCUCUACUAAAAUAGAAACUUGUCUUGAACGAUUAACCCCCGGACUACUGACACUCCGGACAACUGACCACUAACAUUUAUUCUCACAUUUUCCACCAGUUGUGUUUUUGCCAACUUUUGUUUGCAGGAUGUUUAAGAAGGUGAAGAAUGCAGGGAAGGCUCUCAAGAACAUUGGAACAAGGAGUUCAUCCCGACACUCCUCACAGCCAUCAGAGAUGAACGUCGACCCGACACCCACACAAGCUCCAUCAUCUUCNNNNNNNNNNNNNNNNNNNNNNNNNNNNNNNNNNNNNNNNNNNNNNNNNNNNNNNNNNNNNNNNNNNNNNNNNNNNNNNNNNNNNNNNNNNNNNNNNNNNUGGAAUAUAACCGAACUGGGUUCUCGUCUUCUCACCCUCGAAUUUCUUUGCACCUUACAAUACUAUGAGGGGGGAAUUGUUUUUCGGAUGUUCAAACAGGAAAUUAUGUUAUCCUGGAGAGAGCUGAGCGACCAUCUUGGUUUCUCUUCAAGAUGCAUCCUGAACAUUGACUCCGAUUUACCCAACUUUGAGAGACACCAGUUUUGGAGAGAAAUAUCUAGAGAUAAUUUUUACAGUCAAGCCCGAACCAGUGACAUGGAACACCCCACUCUUAGGAUGUUUCACAAAUGGCUUGGGUACAAUCUUUUCUAUCGUGACGAUAUUAGGAAAGUAAGAGUAGGAGAUUUACAGCUUUUAUAUGCUGCUAUUAGUAAAGUACCUACUUCACCUGUUACAUUAUUAGUUUCACAUUGGCUUAGUAUACCUAGUCUUCAGGGACCAGUAGGAUGUACUUCACUUAUCACUCGUCUAGCCACUAAUCUUCACUUACUAGAAAAUUCAUCAUUGGACUUCAUAGAAGAAUUAAGAAUUUAUCAUGGCUAUGACACAUUUAGACAAGCUCGGAUGUUAAAGAAAGAGGGAAAUAUAAUGUAUAUGCUGUAUGAUGAUAAAGGCAAGAUUCGGUUACCUAACCCGAACCUUGGCCUCUACUCUGUGCAAAACUUUUUGAUUGAGAUUGCAGCAACACUAGUGAACCAGAGAACUCCACAGCGAGUGGCAUCUGAAAGGAUAACCACUCACCGAGAACGCACUUGGUAUGGAGCUGACCCUGGACCAGAAGAAGCAGCGCACCUGCAUUAUUGCGAUUACAAUCCAUGAGUCCUUCGAGACCCAUGGGCUCGGCAUGCGCAACCACAAGAGCCAACAGAGGAGACAUGGCCAGAGAGCCAAGAUCACCAGUGGACAAACCCGCCUUUUCAUACGGGCAGGUACUCCACUGAUCCAUAUGGAGCUUCAGGAUCCAGACCUCCACCACAAUUUGAUGCAGGACGAUACUCCGACGCCUCCUACGCUUUCACGAAUGACUACUAUCAAGAGGCCGGUGCUUUCUUCACUCGUACCGACAACACCCUCCUCGACAUCCAGAACACGCAAGCAGAACAUGGAAGACUCCUGAAAGAACAACAAAAAUGGAACCAGGACCAUGCCGCUGCAGUACAAGAGCUGAGACAAGAUACAACAACAAUGAACAACAACAUCACAACCAUGAUGCGGUUCUGGAACAUCGGGUAAGACCGACGUCAACAUCCAGCUUGGGGGAGUUCCUCCCUAAAUUUAUCAAGUAAGUUUUUAUUUGCUCUUCUUAUUUAUUCUUUUCUAUUCUAGUAUUUAAUUUAUCUUAAAAGGAAAAACUUAGAAAACCAAAUAAAUAUUUUCUUGCUUUAAUUUACUGCACUUUAUAAACAUGAAAACAAAGUAAAAAGAGUGUGUAGAUAAGUGUGCUUUAUUUUUUUGCUAAGUUUAAUCUCUAAAAAAAAUAAUAAAAAGACCAAAAAGAUGCAUGAUGGAAAUGAUGAACAGUUGCUCUGCUUGCUUACUUACAUGUACCUAGCUUUUAUAUUAGAAUUCUUCCAGGAAUUACUAAAACUAAAAUUACUAUCUUUGGGAAGCAUAAAACUAAAGUCUAGGUAAGAGAAAGGCAUGAUAUAAAGUUGAGCUACUGUUUAUCUUGUUCCUACUACACUAAGUUCUGGAGAUUUAUUUUGAAAACUUACAAAUCACAUGAUGAGUUCCUAGCAUUGCAAACCACCUACCACAGCCAUACUUGCUAUAACAUCUUUUACUUUAUUCACAUUGAGUUUGAUCGAGCUGUGUAGACCCUUAGGAGCUUUUCAUGUGGUUAAAUUAAGAUAUUCACUUGCACACAUCUACCACAGCAUUCAUCACCAAUCAUUAAAAUUGCUAAAAAUAUUUUCACUCACUGUCCCGAAUAUUGUUAUUCUCUCUCUCUCAAAAGAUUCAAUGCAGAAGAGGCAUGGGUUAUGCAAAAAUAUGCGAGGAAAUAAAAAGGGGCAAGUGCCCGGAACCUCGAAAAAGAAAGAAAAAGAGUGAGACGAGAGGUAAAAAUGGACAAGUGUCCGAAGUAGAAUUAGGGGUACAAAAAUGCCCACUCGAGAGGAAAAAAAUGGACAAGUGUCCGACAGUAGAAUUAGGGGUAUCUACUACCCACCUGAAAAAAAAAGAAAAAGAUAGCCCAUGUUCUCCCAAGGCAAGGAUCAAAGAAGAGGAGAGAUAGCAAUAUGAGGAGCAAUGAGAAGUAAAAUUUAUUAUCACUUAUGCAUUUUCACCAUCACUAUCAUUUACUCCAUCACACAUACACAUCUUGAUUUAAUUAUAUGCUGAGUUCCUUUGGAUCCAUGGCUCGAUUAGACAACAUAUGUAUGAGCUGUUUUCCACUCCUAUGAGCUCCACUUAAAUAUUCCAUUAGCUAUAGGUAAGUGACAUUAUGGUAAGGAUCCACAAAUACCACAUAUAGAGAGACUUGAGAGAAUCAUUGCAGAGAACUCUGAGUUUUAUUUUAAAAACUUAUAAAAAACUCUAGAACAAAGGUGAUGUAUAGACAGGAGGGAUAGUGCUUGACUUAACUAUUUUGUCUUUCAAUUACUUAAGACUUAAGUGCAGGUGCUAAACUCCAUAACACUUCACUAUAAUCUGGAAGAAUUUUUAUGUAAAAGCAUGUGUGCCUGUCAGGAAAGAAAACAUCGAAGCAACUCCUGAUCCGUCUGAGUUUAGCUGUUUGCUCAGGGACGAGCAAAGGGUAAGCUUGGGGGAGUUUGUUGACGGUCCUUAAGUACUAAAAUUAAUAAUCAAAUAAAAUGAAAAAUGAUCAAUAUAAAACAAACAUCUAGAAUUAGGGUUUUAUCUGACAGAAUUCCAUGAGCUUUGGUGUUUAUCUAUUUCUGCAGGGGUUUAUCAGAAAAUAGGGAGAGAAGGCCCACAUGUCAUGUUUACAACGAGAUAAUUACGUGCCGCACAAUUUUCCUCAAUCUAGAAGGAUCCAGAAGCCACGGGAACGAACGGGACGCGAAUCGGGCUCGGGAGCUGGGCGGACGCCCACCCCCCUUGGGCGCCCGCCCUGGCCAAGAGUUGGAUCAGGACUCUCUCUCGGGACAAGACUCCACCGACCUAAAGGAUCAAUCUAAACCAUACAAUCUAUGUCGGUUUGAUCCAAUGGCUCACGUUCACUUGAGGGGACUAUAAAACCAGACCCCCUGGCCCCUGGAGGAGGAGAGGAGAAAUCAUUAUUCAGAGGUAGCCAUCAAAGUUAGGGUUUAGAUCUCUCUCCCGCAGAGAAUUAGAAUUAGCUACUCCCUAAUCCUUCAAGUUUAGAGGUUGAUUAGAUAGCAAUUAGAGAAGUAGAGCACUACGCUCUGGAUUCGGAUCUUCGGUAAUAAAGAUUGGUAUUAUUCAUAUCUUUCUCUAAUUCUUUGUUCUAAUUGCAUUAUGUCUCUAAUUAUUAUGUUCUUAGUUUGCUCUAGUUCUAUAUUUGAUAUAGUUCUAAUUCAUAAUGAGUUUAUGUAUAAGUUUGCAAAGCGCUUAGCUCUUGACACGAGGGAGUUAGGUGAUAGAUCACAUGUGAGCGUGGUGCUUAGAUGUUAUUUAUCUGCAAAUGUAUCCUAUUGGCCGAGUCGUGUGGUAGUUCGCGAUAGUGACAGCUUCAUUGAUUCUUAUAUAGUCCACCCUCCGUUGAUAGGACAGGCAGAACCGGUAUUGUGGAGUAAGUCAUGCGAUGUUCUGAUUUACUUUAUCAAUGUUCCUUAUACAUGAAUGAAGAGUCUUUUAUGCUAUAUAUGAUCUUGUAGAUAACUAGAGUAGAUUAUGACUUAGUAGUUAGUAGAUAACUUAGAAUCCAUUCUCUAGCUAAUCCGACAUCACCUACAUAUAUGAGGAGUAGUCUAUUGUCUAAUCACUGUGUUAUCUACCCAUGAACUUAUACUUUAUUAUCAUUAUCUUUAUGGUUUACCCCCUGCUAAAGUAAGUGACUGUGUGACGAGUUUCUCAUUAGUAAUCAUGUUCUUGCAAGUUUAUCUCUAGUCUAUGCCUUGAUAGAUUUUGUCCCUUGAUUUAAUUCCAUCUUCUUGAGAUCCCUAGAGCAAAAUUAUAAAUAACGAUACCUGGAAUACUUAUCCUGGUGAAAUGCUACAAUGAGGUGUUUUAUCUGUGCGCUUGCGGAUAGAAUAGAUUAUUUUCUAGAGAGCCUUUACAUUUAUAAAUACCUUUGUACACUCUGGCGCCAUGCUAGGGAUGACAACCUAGUAUCUAAGUGGUGUUAGCUAGUGUCAACACCAUGCGGGGGGUCGAGUACCAUAAACCGGAACUCCCUCUUCCCCCGCCUCGGGCCCCUAUGGCGGCAACGAUUCCUAUUGGCACAGGCUCCGCUGCGGCUGCUCGAGCAGUUCUUCCAGCUGUUGACACCACUGAUGCUGCUGUCGCUAAAGCUCCUGCAGCUCCAACUGGCGGCACUGCUCCAGCUGCUCCUCGAGCCGCUCUUCCUGCUGUCGUCGCUGCUGCUCCCCCUACUACUGCCGCUACUGCUCUACUUUUUCUCCUUCUUCCCGUCCGUUCCGCCCUUCUUCUUCUCUUUUCCUGCUCUCCUCGACGAAGUAAAGCCCGAUGGCCAUGGCGUCCGCUUCCCAACAAGAGAAGUCUCGACCUCCUCGUCUGCAGUACGGACCUCCCUCGAAAGCUGGUCGCCACUAGACCCAUCACUGAAGGUGAUAGGGUCGCUCAUACCACCAGACUGGAGAGGCUCGAGGGCUCCUUCCUAAGCCUGGAGAGGAGGCGUCUCGACCCGCCUAGGCGACAAGGCAGUUCCAGAGAUGUCGCCCCCCUCCGACGGUUGAAGUGGGGUCCCCUCGAUAUCCGACGACGGACGGGGAUCGGAGGAAGCUGUACGCAUCCCAAGGCAGGACGUUAGUCACAAAGGGAGCGACCCCACUCUAGAACCACUAAAGGAAGGAUAAAAUUACUCACCUGGGCCCUUGGGAAACCACGCCCACCUUCCAGUUUCUUGGCCAUCCCAAGGUUGGGGCUCGUUCCCAUGGGCCUCCUUAACCCUAGGGAGAAAGGGAAAUAUAUUAGGAAAGCCGAAAGCAGAGAGAGCGCAACACAUCGGGAAACAAGAAUUGCAACGUAAAACCCUUACCCCACAGGAAGAACGACCCGCGUGCCAGUCCCUCGACCAACUGGCCUUGAGCCGCCCCGCGUCGAGACCCCGGGCUUCUCCUCAGCAGGCGGAGGCCUCGGCUCGACAUCUCCCACCUGGCGAGCGCCGGGGCUAGAGCUCCCACCACCUCCUUCUCUCUGUCUUGAGGCUGCCACGGCGGCACGGCCGCGGGUCAAUGGCCCCGUUGCCAUAGACUUAACCCAGUGGUCCGCCCCAGACGCGGGAGGAGGUUGCGGCUGAGAAACCGCACGACCCUUCACAGGCAUAGGAGGAGUGUCGGCACGAGAACGGUGCGGUGAGGUCUCCCUCUGCUUACCGUCGUGGGGCCCGCCCGACGCCCUCUUAGGAGCUCCAGUCCACGGUACGUCGACGUUGGCUUGCGGCGGGCCCUCGAGGAUUCUGUCGAGACGAGCCGCCAUCCCCUCAGAGUCGUCGCUAUCGUCGCCACCCUCAUUGCCGUCAUCCUCAUCAGGAGAUUCCUCCUCGGACUCCCCCUUUUUCCUCGACUUCACGCGGCGUUUCUCGAGCGCUUGUCGCUCGAGAUUCUUUUUCUUCUCCUUCUUCUUUUCUAAGUCCUUUGCGGACAUUUGUUUCUCCGCGGACUCGCGUCUCCUAUCAUGAUCGACGUCAUCCUCCUUUACCGGAGGCCUCGAUGACCGAGCGUUGAUUGAUCCCUGUACAGGCAGGAGUAAGUCCUAAGGAGGAUCGAAAAAAUCAAGAAUUGAGUGAUGGCAACGGAAAGGACUUACCAGCCCUGACUCUAGCGGCGACCUCGUCGUCCGCGGGCGCCUCGUUGGACAUCCGGCAUGCCUCAAGGUCGCGAGACGAAACGCCGGGACCCAUCUCGUCCAUCCUCAGCGGUCGAGACAUCAACGGGAGUACCCAUCGAUGGUGGACAGCCAAAAGGAUGAACGCGGCGGUCAGACCUUCCUCGCGCAGCUUCUUUAGGGCAUUGAGGAUGGGGCGGAGCGGCGACUGGAGGGUUUUGACGACGCCAUAGUUCCAGUGGUCCGGAUGCUCCGAAAUCAAGCACCCGGUGUAGUCGGGGAAGAGGUCGUCGUCAUUUCGCAGAUAGAACAACUGGGAGUCCCACUAGGCAUGGUUUGAUGUCAGCCCCACUGGAAUGUACUCUCGAGGCUCCUCCGCCUUGCCAGUCUUUUGCACCAGGUAGAGGCAGCCGGCCCGCAUCGGUUUCCUCACCCCUAUAGCCCCACUAGGGGCAUGGAAGAGCUCGCCCCGGUACAGGUGAAGCCACAGGUCCCAGUGUGGCAUCAUCCCAGAUAGCCUUCACACACUGUUGACGGUCCUUAAUGCUCACAUUUAACCGUCAACUAAUCAUGAAAAGGAUCCAAAUGCAACUGACACAUAGGCUUAGGGUUUCAUUUGGCAGAUUUCCACGAGUUUUGGUGUUUGUCUAUUUCUACAUGGGGUUAUCAGGAAAUACGAAGGAAAGGCCCACACAUUGGGUUUACAUAGAGAAUUAAUGUGUGCGGUAAUUUUCCAUAGUCAGGAAUUCGACUCUAGAAGCAAUUCGACCGAAGCGGAGCCGAGACGGGCCUAGGACCAGGCGCCCGCCCUUGAUCCUAGGGCGCACGCCCUGGUACAAGCACCAAUCACAGAAUGGAGUACACCAUUACAAAGAUCUCGUCGAGCUGAUCGAAAUGCGUAUAUUAUUUGCUAUAUUUGGAGUUCGAAAUCAAGAGAUAUUAAUAAAAGAAGGACUCCACAUAAAAGAGCUGCGGGAUUAAUUGGGCCCAAAUGAGAUUUUAGUCCAUUAAGGCCUAUGUGCAUUUUAAUGAGAUAUGGUGGAAAGUUUAGUACCACAUUGCCUACUGAACCAAAAACGCACAAAGGAGGAGGACUAUAUAAGCAAGGCCCCUGGCCCCUGGAAGAGAACACAUCAUUAUAGAGUUGAGAGGUGCCCUCGAAGGAUUACCUUUCCUGUAUAGAAAAUUAGGGCUAGACAUUCCAAUGUAGUAGAUUAGUUCUAGUCGGGAGUUAGGGAGAGCAGAGGUGCGCUCCGGUUCUGGAGAAGUCUUCAUAUGUCUUUAUAUUUAUUGUAAGACUUAUGCUUUAAUAUAUUUAUCUUCUCUAUUUACUUUUAUGCCUUUAUUAUUAUCGAGUAGUGUAGUUGUUAUAUUUUGGCAUAGGAUCUCCGUUCGCAUCGAGUGCUCUAGUUAUUCAUGGUAAUUAGAGUAGUAAUCAUUAGUGUAGACGUGGUGUCUACACUAGAGGUUACUUGAGGUUGCACCUAGUCCUGCGGAUUGUUGUGGUAGCCCUAGGGUAGUGACAGCCCUAACGGUCGAUGUAUUCCACCUCGUUCGGAUCGGUGUUUGUAGGACCGUAGUCGGAGCUUCCCAGCCCCCUUCUCAUCUGUUUCUGUGGUUGGUGUUCUGAUGUCCCAAAGUGCUAAUAUGUGAUUGCUAUAUCUAUUCAUUCUUUGUUAUCAUAGAACUAAAGUAAUAGAGAAGUAUACAGGAACCCAGGUCUCUCCCGUUGUCCUCCUGCUAUGGCUAUUUACGCAUUUAUCAUAGAAUUCUCACAUUUAUAUUAUUACCUAUCAUAUAUCAUUUACCGCUACUUUAGUCUAGUUGGUUUAUUAAAUUAGUAGAUGCAUGAUAGUAAGUUAUCAAAUUCUUGGACCUUAGCUACCCAGUGGUAAAAUAUAAAUAAUGAUACCUGGAAUACUCCCGGUAAAAUGCUACGAUGAUGUUCUGUGCGCUUGCGGAAUUUUUCUUAUUCUUACUGCACUUAACGAAUGUCAACACACACCGCAUCAAAAAUCGCCGCGGCGGUGAUGGCGUUCGGCGAGAAAUGCUGGAGCUCCACACCGUAAUGGAGGCAGAGCGCCCGCAUGAAGUGACUCGGAGGAGAACCGAGGCCGUGGCGAUGGAACUUGGCGAAGGAGACCACGUACCCCUUGGGCGGUCUCGGCUCCCAGUGGUCCGCCGCCGGCGCGAUCCAUUCCGGCCGUGACAAGGAAACACGGAGGCAGAGGAGUCCCUCCUUCUCGAGCUCCAGCAGCCGGCGCUCCGUCUUCGACGACGGGCGCCUGUCAUCGGCGGCAACGAGUCUCACCGGCAUUUUGAGGGAUGAAGGAAGGCGGCUCCGCUGCUAUGUGCUCGAGGGUGUGCGCGUGCGUGAAGAUGGCAAAGGAAGCAAGGGCAAGAACGAUGGCGGAAGGAGGAAGGAGUAAUGGCUGAGAAACCCAAUGAUAUUUAUAGACGACCAACCUCCAACGGGCAGAUUCGGCGAAUACGGUAACCUCCCUAGUAAAUGCGCCGCCUAACGGUCCUGAUUGCUCUGACUGACAGGGUGCUACGAAUUCCACGACGGCACAGUGCCGCAAUGGCUCCCGCCUAGAAAGGCACACCGAACGGGCAGGAAAGUGAACUGUCAUGGCCCUUCCUUCCCCUGAAAGAUAAGGUAUGUACGUGUCACGAUAAAAAUCUUGAGGGAUCGCAGACUGGCCCGCUGAACGGGUUUGACGGUCGUCCUCGAGUACCAGAGUCAGGGAUGCCCAGCGAGAGGUCGAAAACAUGGCCUGCCUCGAGAACUCGCUGGGGAUGUCCAAGGUAAGGGCAAGAGGGUCAAGAGGAAUCCCCACGGAGGGAGGCAGCGAGCCGCUGGACUCUAUCGAACGAUACCAAUAACUCCGACCAUGUUGACCCCGCUUUAUGAGAACACCUCCGGGCUACAGCUGACCCCCUCGAACAGGGCACAGGUUCUCACUUGGAUUACCCGAUAGGAGCUCGACCUGGGGUAGGUGACGCUCGCUCCGCCAGGAGUACGUCAUGACUCCGAUGCGAAACCAGCCGAUUGAGGCUCAAAGCCCCUCUUCCAUGGCGAAUGACUUACGGAGAAGGGGGAGAUCGAGAGCGCUUCCAUUAGAAAAAGCAACAUAACCCAUGAAGGAGUCAAAGACUCCUCCAAGGGCUCGGGGGCUACCCCCGCGGGGGUCACUCGCGUGACCCCACGGAAACUCGACUAACAAAAGAGCCUCUACUCGAGCGCAAGCGCUGGAGUAGAGACUCGGGGGCUACUGUCGAGGCUUGACUGGACAGUUAUCGUCGAAUACGGAAGCGACUCGUGGGAAUCGACAGGCCUCGAGCGCAAGUACGCCAUCCGCCGCCUGACGCGGGUACGGGAACUACGGCAUUUAAUGCGCCUACCAUGUUCUCACCUAACCCGACAGUUACGGGAAACGUGACUGGGAGCAAGCACCCGUCCAAUCCCCCUUUUUGUAGCUUUGUCCCCCAAAUGAGCCAGAGUACGACCGAGCACAGUGAGACAGUCGGGACAUCACGUCACGGCCCCCUUGAGGCGCCCAAAGUCAGUGCACCGAUCAGCAAGGCCUUGCGUGGCAUCGGACCCUAAAGCAAACACGUUCCUUCCCAAAGAAGAGUCAGGCGGUGAAAGACAGCACCUCAACCACUCUGGACGCGACUGCAGCCACGACGAGGCAUGCCCACAGUUAAGCCAAUCCAAGGCAACGCACUGGAGUCGAAUGCAGAAGCAUGCACAAUCAUCACCAAAGUACCAAGUAACAAGACAGCUCGAGGCUACGCCGGUACGGAAGCCUCGAGUAGGUCAGCGCACUACGCCCCUAUCGACCCCUACUCUGUCACCUACGCCAUGUAACCUAGGUCUCCCCUUAGAACUAUAAAAGGUGAGGCAUAGGAAAGGAUGAAGGACACGACAUAAAUAGAAGAACAACCAUACAUCGCCUCCAUCUAGGACUUAGAAUCCACCACAAUACCGAAUUGUAUUCGCCCCUGUACAAGCACUUAGGUGCAAGAUAAUAGAAACAUCUCCCCCCGCUGGACGUAGGGCCUUCUCCUGCCCGAACCAGGAUAAAUCUUUGUGUCUUUCUUGCAUCACCAUCUGGGAAAGGGAACACGCACACAAGUUUUACUCAUUGGUGUGACCCCCCAGGGGUAAAAUACCGACACAAACACUGCAUUUUAAUGCUGAACUUGCUCCGAUGAUAGCUGUCACAGAACCGGCCAAAUUAUAAGAGUUCAAGUGUCGAAACGAUCGAACUAGCAAUCAAGUUUCCAGACUUGAGCCCAUAUAAUCCCGGUAGUCAACCAAAAUCACGAAGGAUCUCAAACCAACUUUGCAACAUACCAAGAUAACAAUAGUUUAACACAACACAGCGAUUGUUACAUAGUUCAUUCAUUGCCAACGAAGCGGCACCACAUCGGAGUUACUUAGUUGUUACAACACAAGUUUGAAGUAGCGGAAGCAACAUAGUUUUCACACACACAUUUCAUAAGUUCUUGUUACAGCCAGAGUCUCAUCACAUCCACCAAAAGCAUCAGGGGUACGUAGUCGUUAGAGAACCGUGCCCAACGGUUUAGUCCUCAUCCCUAGCGGGAUGAAGGCAGGUCUUACAGAAACCAUCAUAGAAGAUAUCAUCUGCAACAGGUGGGAAUAAACCCUGAGUAUGAGGAUGUACUCAGCUAGACUUACCCGUAUAACCAAACAUAAAAGACACCAAGGAUCAUGCAAGGCUGAGUAUAAACUGUAAGUGGCUUUACUUAUACCUUUUUGCCAAAAAGCUUAGACUGGAUAAUAAACCAUUCUUAUAAGCAUCAUAUUGAUUAUCAUAAGCCUACCACUAUAUUAGCACCUAGACUAAGCACUUCACUUGAUUAUUAACAAACAAUAAUAACCAUAUCAAGUUUCAACAUAUGUUCUUGCUUGCUAUCCUCAACAUCAUCAUUAAGAACCAUUAAGUACUUAGUGGAUGCUACGUUUGCCACUGCUCUGUCAAGUUCUCACUAUCUGGGAGAGACGGCGAUUCGAAUCGAUUCCUAUCCAGCUGGAGGGUUAUUCCUAGCACUCACCCAUGCAUCCCCCGUCGGAGAGCAAGCGGGUCACCUUUGGUACGACUCAGGAAUCGCGGCUCCAAUCAGCGUCGCACUCCCAGGGCUGCCACUCUGCCAGGAACAUCAGGACUUUUAACUCACCUGCCCUUGGUCUUAUGCUAAUGCCCCCCCGCACGCAGCACUUCCUCCGGUAGUGCGCACUUUAUACUUGCCGGUCUUCCGGCCUGAGUCAUACUACUAGGCUUCGCGGUCGGAACGAGUUAUCCGGCCAACUAAGUGUCAGGCAUGCGUUCAACAUGAUAAGAGGACGUACAACGAUCGGUCCUUAGCUGCCACAGACAGAGUUACUACCACCUUGCAAAACUCCACCCGGCUUAAGUCAUUUUAAACCAGGUUCUUUCCCAUGAUAGCACAUAUAGCCAAUCGUGAUCCGACAACAGACCCUAUUUCGCGCAGGUGACAGGAUAUCACCCGACUUCUACCGAUUAGAGCAUGGCUAAGCUGCUACUCGAUCUUAACUCUACAACAAGGUAGGAUAAAAUAUCUGGACAAGGAAAGGUGUAAAGCAGCAACGGUUCCUUCACAACUCCUAUACGUAAUGCAUCAGUAGAUAUAACAUAUUCAAGUAUGCUUUGAAAUUAAAGUGGGAGACUUAAGAUGCUCCGGGGCUUGCCUUUCAUGAACGAAGCGGGCUCAUGACUAGGGCACUCGACUUCCUCUUCGGGCUCGUGACUAGGGCAUUCGACUUCCUCUUCGGGCUCCUCGGGUCCUGCUGGCUGGGCCUCCGUCUCCUGGGUGACCUCCGGACUUUCUGGAAUCACCCUCGAGCUCGAACGAGGUCGCAGUCUCCGGUGCACCUAUUGCAUGCACGAAUGAAUAAGGAAUGUAUGCAUACUAAGGGAAUGAUGAAUGUUCUGGCAAACAUGAUUAAAUACUUCACUAGACGCUCAUUUACGGAGUAAGCUUCUAUUACAAGCUCACAAAGAGUACCACCACAACUUAGCGCAAUUAAACAGCAACAGCCAACAACAUGGCAGCUCAAUGAACAACCCAUAACUAGAGAUAUAUAGAACCAACAAACAUGAAUGAAGACAUUCUGGAAAUAUUAUGAAAUUGUUUACAUUUCAUCUUUAUACAUCUCAGCAAGAUUCACAAGUUAAGCAGGUCAAUUAAACAAAGUUCCAGGUUCUGUUCCAGAAAGACAGAGAGCAGCUAGUUCUGGAACUUAGCUUGGAAAGGCCAUAACUCUUAAACUACUGGGUCAAAUGACCCCAGAAUUUAACCACAGCUAGAAUACAAAGUUUACAACAUCUUUGAUAUAGACAAGUCUUUCAGAAAACAAAGUUAUCAUUAUGCAAUAAUCAGAUUACUCCCUUGCUGUCCAGAACAGCUAUAUAACCUUUAAUUAAUUAUUUGUUGACAUAGCAAAGACAUAUUUAGUACCAACCAAGUGACUCAUAAGAACAAGUAUAACCUAAGAUUACCAUAAAACCACAUGUUGACUCCUAAACACUUAAUUAAAAGGCAUUUAUUAAUUUAAUUCCAUAAAAGGGCAUAAUUAAAAGAUACCAGCAAGAUUGCUCAGAAAAAUCUACAAAAAUUACAGAAGCACAAGCAAGAUAUCUUGACAUUACCAUAAAAUGUUCAGAGCAAUUGCACAUGCCAAACUUAAGAUAUGUAAUUAACAUGUAACAAGGUGCUUAUUUUAUAAAUUAAGAAACAUGGCUUAAAUAGUGUCAAACAACAGAUUUCAGAUUAUUUACAUGCUACUACUACCAUGAACAAGCUUGACACCAAAGGAGAACACCAGCAUAAGCAUGUAACAUUUAAUAUGAUUUAAAUAUGGAUUUAAGCAAAGAUAUUAACAUAAAUUACAUAUCAGAGAUAAAUUACUCCAAAAAUCAUAAAAUAUUUACCAGAGCAUACCAGUAACACACAAAGCUUAGCAUAAAGUUUUCACAGCAUUUGGAGCAGUAUAUCAAGAAAUCUGAAUUUAUAUUGAAAUAACAAGAUUAAUUCAUAACAAUUAUUUCUCACAGGAACAUGGUACAUGUUAUAUUCUUAUUAAAAACUAGCCUACCAGAGGAGUACAACAAUAUUUGAACCACCUCAAAAGGACUUUCCACACUCUAGUUAUGAUUUUUUGAAAAACAGUACAAACCCUAAAUUCAAACAGGAGGAGGGAGGGACUGAUAGGGAGACCCCACAGGUCAACGGACCCCACACGUUAGUGACCCCGAGGACAGGGGCGAGGCUUGUCCGCCGGAAAGCUCGUCAACGGCGAGGUCUCGACGAUGGUCAAGGGCACCAUCAUGCUCCUCACUCUCUUCCGCGACGAUUGGUACCAGAAACCCUAGUUCUACUACACUCUAGGGACCUCGCCCUCGCGAAUGGCAGCACGGCGGCGGUGCGCGGCCGACCGCCGGCAUCUCUCGGAGACCCCACGGUAGAGGAUCUCGUCGAGCAUCAGCAUGACGAGGCGGAGCUCUAGGAACAAAAACGAGAAGGAAUGUUGGACUAGAGAGCCCUGACCACGACACCGGUGACCACGGUGGAACUCCGGCGACGUGAGCUCACGGUGGAGAAGACAAUGCGGGCUUACCGAGGCUCGGCAGCUGCAGCCAAUGCGACGACGGUGAUGCAGGGAAGCUAGCAAAGUGCUGGGUGGAGUCGCAUGGCUCGAGAAGCAAUGACACGAGCUCCCGAGCUCGCCGAAGCGACAGCGGAGACUCGGUGAAGACGGUGAACGAGAGAGAGAGAGCUAGGAGGAGAAAUGGCGCUGUCCACGCCACCAGGGAUGUAACAAAACUGCCCAACUUAUAAGAGAUUAAGUGUCGGUGUUUUCCCUCGGGGGGGGGGGGUCACACCAACGAGUAAAUUUGUAUGCGUGCUCCCUUUCCCGGAUGGUGAUGCAAGAAGACACAGAGAUUUAUCCUGGUUCGGGCAAGAGAAGGCCCUACGUCCAGCGGGGGGAGAGAGUUUGUAUUAUCUUGCACCUAAGUGCUUGUACAGGGGCGAAUACAAGCGUGGUAUGAAGUGUGAAGCUCUACUACGCAUGAGCGUGGACUUGUCUUCUUGUUUUCGUCCUUCCGUUCUAUUCCUGAGUCUCUCCUUUUAUAGCUCCAAGGAGAGACCCAGGGUACAUGCGUAGACGCUAGAGUAGGGGUCGAUAGCCGCAUGGAGCGCUGACCUACUCGAGGCUUCCGUACGGCAUGGCCUCGAGCCGUCCCAUCUUGAUAGCCCGGUGAUGAUUACGCGUGCUCCUGCGUUCGGCCCUGCCCGCCGCCUCGCGCUGGUUCUGAGGUCGCAUGCCGGUACGGUAUGGCGGCGGAUCCGGCGGGGUAGCUGUGGUGUUGUCAGUCGACGCCCAACUUGCCCCUAGGAAGGGACCCUGUUCGGUCGAGGGUCGGACGCCGUGUAAUGUGCUGAUAUCUGGAGCGCUGACCUUGGAGGUCUCGAGGGGGUCUCGAUUAGACGUUCCAUCCUUGUUCCCUGCAUCCUGACACGCCCUUGAUCGUUCGGUGGGAAGGCUGCAAAAAGAACGAUGGGACAGAAGCCUCCCGUGACCCGUGUGUUAGGUGGGGAAGCAUCAGGCGCAUUAAAUGCCCUGGCUCCCGUGCGCGCGUCAGGCGGCGGACAGUGUCCUUGCGCUCGAUGCCUCUCGGUUCGCUCGAGCCCGUUUCCGUAUUCGACGGCAGUGGUCGCUCGAGCCUUGACCGAUUCGCUCGACGGCAUUUCCGUCUUCGAGGCUGCGACCGUCGAUGGUCGCGCGUGCGUACGGAUGGCCUGGUUAUACGCAUUGGUGAGGGUACCCCUUGUUGAUACCCUCGACAGUAGCCCCCGAGUCUUCAUUCGAGCGCUGGCGCUCGAGUGGAGACUUUCGUUUUUACGGUCGAGCUUCCACGGGGGCGCGCGAGCGACCCCGCGGGGGUAGCCCCCGAGCCCUCGAGGGAGUAUUCAACUCCUUCGAGGGUUAUUUUGCCAAAAUUGCAGAAACGCUGUCAACACCCGUGGUGGAAGGUUCUGGUCGGCUUUGCCUUGCGUGGAGGUUUCGACGUACUCUCGAUAGAGCGAGCGUCUUCCACCCCGGAUUGAGUUCCUAGCGGGUAGUCCAAGUGAGAACCUGUGCCCAUUUCGAGGGGGUCAGCUGUAGCCCAGAGGCGUCCUCAUAAAGCGGGGUCGACGUGGUCGGGGAUACUGGUCUCAUUCGAUAGAGUCCAGUGGCUCGAUGCCUCCCUUCGGGGGGAUUCCUCUCGACUGUCUCGACCCUACCUUGGACAUCGCCAGCGAGUCCUCGAGGCGGGCCUCGAUUUUCGACCGCUCGCUGGGGAUCCCUGACUCUUGGUGCUCGAGAUCGGCUGUCGAACCCUUUCGACGGGCCAGCCAUCGACCUCUCGAGACUAUCCUGGGCGCAUACCUUGGCUUACAAAGUAAGGAAACUGCCGUGCCGGUUCGUCUUUCUGCCCGUUGGGCGCACCUUUUGAGGUAAGUGACGUUGCGACACUGUAUUGGCGUGGAAUUCGGAGCGUCCGGCCUGUGUGGAGAGAGAGGACCGUUAGACGGCGCAUUUAUGGAGGGAGUUACCUUAUUUCUCGGAUCUGUCCGUUGGCGGACUGCUGCCUAUAAAUACGUUGUGGCGUCGCCGCCGUUCCUCUCCCUUCCGUCUUCUCGCUUUUACUCUCGUUGCCUUCGCUUUCUCGCCGUCUCACGCGCACACGCCACCUCGAGCUGUAGUGAAUCUCGCUAUCCCUCCAGCCGAGAUGCCUGUAAGACUCGUCGCCGCCGACGACUGGCGCCCGUCGUCGAUGACGGAGCGCCGGUUGUUAGAGCUUGAGAAAGAGGGACUGCUGCGCCGCCGUACCUCGCUAUCGUCGCCAGAGUGGAUCGCGCCGCCAGCGAGUCACAGGAGGCCUCAGACGCCCGAGGGCUACGUGGUGUCGUUCGCCAAGUUCCACCGCCACGGCCUGGGCGCGCCCCCGAGCCGCUUCAUGCGGGCCCUCUGCUUCCAUUAUGGGGUGGAGCUCUAGCACUUCUCUCCGAAUGCCAUCACCGUAGCGGCGGUCUUCGCCGCCGUAUGUGAGGGCUACUUGGGGAUGAUGCCGCACUGGGAGCUGUGGCUCCACCUCUACAGGGGCGAGCUUUUCCAUGCCCCCACCGGAACCACGGGCGUAAGGAAGCCCGUGCGGGCGGGAUGCCUCAAUCUGGUGCAGAAGACGGGGAAGACGGACAGGCCGCGGGAGUACAUCCCGGUAGGGUUAUCGACCAACCACGCCGGCUGGGACUCCUAGUGGUUUUAUCUGCGGAACGAUGACAAUCUCCUGCCUUCCUACUUGGGCCGUCUGAUCGUGGAGCGUCCAGCGGAUUGGACAUACGGCGUCGUCCAAGCUCAUCAACCUCGUCUCGACCCCCUCCUCGACGCCCUGAAGAAGCUUCGCUAGGAGGGUUUGACCGCCGCUCUCGUCCUCUCGGCCGUCCAUCACCGGAGAGUUCUCCCUUUGAUGUCUCGACCGUUGAGGAUGGACGAGAUGGGCCCUGGUGUCUCAUCUUGGGACCUUGAGGCGUGUCGGAUGUCCAACGAGGCUCCGGCGGACGACGAAGUCGCGGCCCGAGUCAGGGCUGCAAUUGCCGGUGAUUUUCAGCCGGAGCAUGUUAACGGCUUCCCCAUGAGACCUGACGUAGGCUCGAUCGAUCUGGUACGCCUUCUUUUUGCGUGCAGCCUCGAUUCUGGGUUUCCUUUCUCCCCUCUCUUUUUUCUAAGUCUACCUUAGUUUUGGCAGGGUCCGAUUGAUGUCCGGUCCUCGAGGCCUCCGGUAAAGGAGGACGAGGUCGAUCGUGACAAACGGCGCCAAUCUGCCGAAAAGCUAAAGUCUGCGAAGGACUCUGCAAAGAAGGGGGAGAAGAAGAAAAACCUCGACCGCCAAGCAUUAGAGGCGCGUCGAGCCAAAUCCAGGCAGAGGGGGGAGCCUGAGGAGGAAUCCCCUAACGAUGAUGACGAUGAUGACGAGGACAGCGACGAUUCCGAGGGGAUGGCGUCGCGCCUCGAUCGGAUUCUCGAGGGCCCGCCUCGAGGUGACGUCGACGCCCCCCGGACGGAGGCGCCAGAGGAGGGUCCGAGCGGAUCUCGUCGCCCCCGGGCCGACACCCCUCCUGCGCCCAAGGCGGGCCAAGACGCACCGUGCCCUCCACCGGUGCCUAGGGAGAGCAGUCUGGCUAGGCCCCAAGCGUCGGGGCCACUAACUCGUGGUCGCGCCGCGGCCUCUGAGAAAGGAGAUGCCGGCCGUAGGAGCGCCAGUCCCGGCGCCCGCCAGGCGGGGACCAACGCGCCUAAGCCAGUGCCUGCCCUCGAGGCCCACUGGUCGGGGUGGCGGAAGGCGAGCCGUUCUCCCUGUGGGGUAAGCCUUUUUGAUGUUGCGGUUUUUGUCUUCCCAUUCUUCCACCUUUCCUCAUAUGCCAACCUUUUCUCAGGCUGAAGCGGACCCUUGAGCAGGCCCAACCGUCCAUGGCAAAGAAGCUCAGAACGGGUGCCGCCUCCAAGGAACCUGGUUCGUAGUUUAUUUCUGGGCGUUGCGAUGUUCUUGUGUCGGUUAUCAUAACGUCUGACCCUUACCCUUUGUUUCGUAGGCUCCUCCAGCUCCCAACCUCCAGCCGGCGUCGAGAGGGCUCCGCCUCAUCCCGCGCCUACUCCGUUGCCGCCGACUCGUGAUGAGGCGCCCCAGACGCAAGCGUCAGAGGGAGCCCCCGAGCCCCCCCCGAUUGGGGGUCGAGGGGGAACCCAUCACCAUCAGCGAUACGUCCGAUGGUAAUGAAGCGUCUGGGGGCGCUCGCCCUAUGGAGGAGGAAGCGUCGACCCCUAACGUCGCGGGAUCGACUCCCUGGCCCGCCGGCCUCCGCACCCUCGAGGAGCUGAGGAAGAAGAGGGAGGAGGAUGAACAGCGGGAGCACGAGGCGGCGCGGCGGUCACAGGAGCAUGAGGCACAGCAACAGCAGCAACAACAACAGCAGCAGCAACAGCAACAACAGCAGCAACCACCGCAGCAGCAACUGCAGCAGCAACAACAGCAGCAACCACCGCAGCAGCAACUGCAGCAGCGGCAGGCGGGUCAAGAGGAGGGACCGCUCGAGCCUCCACCCCAAGGUUCGGCCCAGCCAGUGCUACCGGAGCCGCAAGGGCCCGGCGAACAAGAAGAGGAUUUGCCGGUGUACGGCCCCCCGACCCCAGCGUGGCUCCUCCCGGGGGCACCCGCCGCGAUCCGGGCAGAGCCGGGGUGUGCGGAUGGAGUGGUGGCGCUCGCCUGCAUGAUGCGCACCCCCACCGACCCUGAGUCCGAGAUCAAGCGGACGAUCUACGGCAUGGACGGGUUCGCCCCAGGGUUCCUCCGGGAGCGUCGGGCAUGGGAGGACCGCUUUCCCUCCGAGGAGGAUGAAAUCGGGACGUCGGGGACCAAGGACGGUACCUGGAAGACGGUGGACGACGACGGGCGGUUCCCAUGCCUCGUCGACCUAUUCUUGUGCCAUGGGGGCUCCCUCGAGACCGUCGAGAAUCUCAUCCGUGGUGUCAAGGCACGGGCCGACCGGGAGAUGGAGCACUGGUGCCCCGAUCGGAUCCGCAUCCGGGCCUCCCACGACCCGUCCGAGCCUAACAUCUUUCUGGACGAUCGGAAGGAGGCAGAGAAGUGGGAGCACGUCGAGGAGCUCCGCCUUUGGAUGAAGCAUGUGGUGGGGCUCCUCUCAGACGUUAUCAACAACGGGCUCGGCCCGGCUUAUUUCGUAAGUGCUUUUCGAACUUCAAUCCUUGUGGUGCCUUUUGGUUUUCGUGUUCUAACCAUUCAACCCUUGGUUCACAGGACAUGAAAGAGACCUCCCGCAUCAAGUCCAGUUUCAUACACGCCACGAGAGGCGGCUGGGAGCAGCUUCCCCUCCUCAAGGAUCAACUCCUCGAGUCGCAGGAAAAGCUCCUUAAAGCUUAUAAGGAUCUCAUAGCACUCGAGGAGGAGAAGAAGGCGAGGGAGGCUGCCUUGGCCGAGGCCCGAGAAGCCUCGAAGAAGGCGGAGGAGGAGACGAUGCAGCUACGGGAGCGGGCUCUUACGGUCGAGGAAGCCGCGUCCAGAGCCCGGGAGGAGGCCCUGUCCUACAAGAGCGUUAUCGCGGAUCUGGACAAGGAGAAGGGCCUCCUUAAAUCCGACCUGGACUCUCUCCGAGAGUCCUUCCGAAAGAUGAAGGUGGAGCACGUGAACGGCGAGGUCGCCAGGGGCGCCGCGGAGGAAGCCAAGAAGAAGGCCCUCGAAGAUCUCGAGGCGGAGCGGGCUCGAUCCCGCAGUCUCUCUAACGACGUCGAGCGUCUGAAGGGAGAAUUGCUGGAGAAGAGUGGGGCCAUUGCUCAGGCUGGCAAGGCGAUCGAGGAUCUCCGCGUUGCCAACACCGAGCUGGCACGCUCCAACAAAGAGAUCGAGGGGGCCAACACCAGGCUGGUUGGCGAGAACACGGCCCUCGAGGAGACCGUACGCGGUAUGUUUCCUCUAUCAGAUUUCUUUUUCCGAGGUGUGCUUAGUUUUUCCUAAGGUCUCUUUGUAUUGGCUUUUACAGGGCUCAAGGACGAGCUCCUGGCCGCCCAAGCCGAGGCUCGCAACGCCAAGGCUCAGCUCGAGGCGGAGGUUGCUUUGAACCGUCGAGUACGGACGGCGAUAAGUGAUCUCUCGACCUCUUGGGAGGUCGAGCCUAUGGAUGAGUCGAGGGAGGACGCUCGAGGCGACGCCCUGGUCGACCAGUUGUGCUAUAUAGGCGCGAUGCUGCGAGAUCGGGUGCGGGACGCCCUCCACAUCGGGGUGAAGCGGGCGAUGGCGGUUGUCUGCUCGGGCUUCUCCUACGACAUGGAGGUGGUGUCCCAUGGCUUCGUCACCGACAUCUCCAAGACCGACGCGGAGAACGAGGAGAGGCUCCAUGCCUUGAUCGACGACGCGGAGGCUCCUGGGGAAAGGUUGGCCAAGCUUUUCGAGCCUGAGGUGCUCCCUCCUGAGGCUAGCUCGGGCGGAGGCGAGGGCGGUGAGGAUCGUGCCGCGGACUAAGGCCUGCGAGCCUGCUCAGGGCGCCUGAGGCCCCUUGUACAAUACUUUGUGAAUUCUGUGGUUAACUGAUGCUGUAUCACUUUCGUAAUUGUCAGAUGCUUAUUUUGUCUUUCCGCUUGAUGCUUUCGUCUCUCUUUGCGCCUACAUUUGUAUCCCUUGCUCGAUUUUUCGUAAAAGAUCAUCUCGAUCACUUCAAUGGUGGGGAAGCGAGUAGAGUUUCCGUAGCCCGGGGGCGUAGGAAUUCUCCAGCUCGUUGUCCCUCGGCCUUUGAGGGGCUCGAGGUGCCUUAGCAACUUGAACCGUGCAAGGUUUACUACGUAAGAAAAGAAAACUUCUCGGUUUUUUCGAUACUCGGGGGGGGGUGUCGUCCCCCUGGUAUCCCCCGAGGGGGUGCUGACUAUGAUGGGUCAUAGUCGGCGCCCCCUUCUAACGUCGAGAUCGUGAUUUAUUAAUCUUCUCGGCGCAAAGAAAGAAGAAUUGUUUCGAGGGAAAGACUUUAUUUAUUCAUUCAUUCGUUUACAAAGUCUUGGUACAAAACGUAAGCAGGAACAUAAGCUUAGAACUUCUAGGGGUAGAAUCGACGUAGCUGUUCGAUGUUCCAUGCGUUGGUGAGAAUUGCCCCUUUUUCGUCCGCCAGCUUGUACGUUCCCGGCUUCAGGACCUCGGCUACCACGUACGGACCUUCCCAAGGCGGGGUCAGCUUGUGGCGUCCCUGAUUGCUUUGCCGGCGUCGUAGGACUAGGUUGCCCACGUUGAGGUCCCUCUUGCGCACAUGCUUGUCGUGGUAGCGUUGAAGCCUUUGCUGAUAUCUAGCAGAGUUGAGGAGGGCCAUGUCUCUAGCCUCCUCAAGUUGGUCGACCGCGUUUUCUUGAGUCUCUUUGUUCGAUUGCUCGUUGUAGGCCUUGAGUCGAGGUGACCCAUACUCGAGGUCUGUGGGGAGGAUGGCCUCAGAGCCGUAGACCAUGAAGAACGGGGUGUAUUUUGUGGCCCUGCUUGGUGUUGUCCUAAGGCUCCAUAGGACUGAGGAAAGCUCCUCGACCCAUUUUUUGCCGAAUUUCUUCAAUCGAUUGUAGAUCCUUGGCUUGAGUCCUUGCAAAAUCAUGCCGUUGGCACGCUCGACUUGGCCGUUAGUUCGAGGGUGGGCGACUGCAGACCAGUUCACACGGAUGUGAUGCCGAUCGCAGAAGUCCAAGAACUUUUUGCCGGUGAACUGGGUGCCGUUGUCGGUGAUGAUGACAUUGGGGAUCCCAAACCGAUGGAUAAUGUCGGUAAAGAAAAGGACGGCCUGCUCGGAGCGGAUGUUGGUGAUGGGUCGAGCCUCGAUCCAUUUGGAGAACUUGUCAAUGGCCACCAGCAAAUGGGUGAAUCCUCCUUUUGCCUUUUGCAGAGGUCCUACUAAAUCGAGCCCGCACACCGCAAACGGCCAGGUAAUGGGGAUCAUCUGAAGAGCGUGGGCAGGCAGAUGCGUCUGCUUGGCGUAGAACUGACACACGUGACAUGAUCUUACGAGCUCGAUGGCGUCCGCCACGGCCGUUGGCCAGUAGAAGCCUUGUCGAAAAGCGUUCCCUACAAGGGUCCGUGGAGCGGCGUGGUGACCGCAAGCCCCCGAGUGCAGGUCAUCGAGGAGUUUUCGGCCUUCUUCCACAGUGAUGCAACGUUGCAAGACCCCCGUCGGGCUCUGUCGAUAUAGCUCGUUGUCUUCGCCAUAGAUCACAUAUGAUUUGGCCCGCCGAGCGAUACGACGAGCUUCUGACUUGUCUUCUGGCAAUUCGCCGCGGAUAAGGCAGUCGAGGAACAGUGUGCGCCAAUCGAAUGGUCGACCUGGUCGUCGUUCUAUCCCCAUCAUUUCUUCCACCAUCAAGACCGUAUCGACAGCGUUGGCUGGUUGGGCGGUGGUGGCGUCGACGCCAGCCCCCGUGCCUAGGUCGACGGAUGGCUCAUGAAGAUCUUUUGAGAAUGCAUCAGGCGGCACCGUGCCUCUGGUCGAUGGGAUCUUGGCGAGUUCGUCGGCUGCCUCGUUGUAGCGUCGAGCGACAUGGACAAGCUCGAGACCAUGGAACCUGUCUUCGAGUCGGCGGACCUCCUUGCAGUACGCUUCCAUUUUUGGGUCGUGGCAGCUCGAGGUUUUCAUUACUUGGUCGAUGACGAGUUGGGAGUCACCUCGGACGUCGAGGCGUCGGACUCCUAACUCGAUAGCGAUCUUGAGACCGUUGACCAGGGCCUCAUAUUCUGCGACAUUGUUAGAUGCGGCAAAAUGAAUCCUGAUUACAUACCUCAUGUGGACGCCUAAGGGUGAGAUGAACAGCAGGCUGGCCCCGGCCCCAGUUUUCAUGAGUGACCCGUCGAAAUACAUUGUCCACAGCUCCGCCUGGACCUGAGUCGGGGGAAGCUGGGAGUCCGUCCAUUCCGCGACGAAGUCUACCAGGGCUUGCGAUUUGAUGGCCUUCCGAGGCGCGUAAGUGAGAGUCUCACUCAUGAGCUCGACCGACCAUUUUGCUAUUCUUCCCGUGGCCUCUUUGCUCUGGAUUAUUUCUCCUAAAGGGAAAGACGAAACCACCGUGAUGGGGUAACCGAGGAAGUAAUGCUGCAGCUUGCGGCGGGCAAGGAUUACGGCGUAGAUCAGCUUCUGGAUUUGGGGAUAACGCAUCUUGGUCUCCGAAAGCACCUCGCUGACGAAAUAGACUGGCCUUUGGACCGGCAGUGCAUGACCCUCCUCUUGUCUUUCGACCACCACCGCCGCGCUGACGACCUGGGUCGUCGAUGCGACGUAGAGGAGCAGCGGCUCUGUAGGUUGAGGUGGAACCAGGACUGGGGCCGAGGUCAACGUCUUCUUCAGCCUUUCGAGUGCUUCCUCGGCCUCGGGGGUCCAAGAAAAACGCUCGACCUUCUUUAGGAGUCGAUAUAAUGGCAAUGCCUUUUCUCCAAGUCUCGAGAUGAAACGGCUCAGAGCCGCCAGGCACCCCGUGACUCUCUGUACACCCUUGAUGUCUCGGAUCGGCCCCAUUUUCGUGAUGGCCGAGACUUUCUCGGGGUUGGCCUCGAUGCCGCGCUGCGAAACGAUGUAACCUAGGAGCAUGCCUCGAGGCACACCGAAAACGCACUUCUCGGGAUUGAGCUUGAUCCGGCUGGUGCGUAGGCAGCUAAAGGCAAUCUCGAGGUCCUGGAUCAGGUCUCCUCGUCGCUUUGACUUGACGACAAUGUCGUCGACGUAGGCCUCGACCGUGGACCCUAUAUGUUCGCCAAACACGUGGAGCAUGCAACGUUGAUACGUGGCUCCCGCGUUUCGAAGCCCGAAUGGCAUGGUCACGUAGCAAUACAUCCCAAAAGGCGUGAUGAAAGAGGUCGCGAGCUGGUCGGACUCCUUCAUUUUUAUUUGGUGGUAACCAGAAUAUGCAUCAAGGAAAGAAAGGGUUUCACAUCCCGCGGUAGAAUCGACAAUCUGAUCAAUGCGUGGCAAUGGAAAGGGAACUUUCGGACAUGCUUUAUUCAGACUAGUAUAAUCGACACACAUCCUCAUUUUCCCAUUCUUUUUCUUAACUAAUAUAGGGUUUGCUAACCAGUCAGGAUGAUGAACCUCCUUGAUGAAUCCGGCCGUCAAAAGCUUGUGGACUUCCUCGCCAAUGAUCUUGCGCUUCUCCUCGUCGAAUCGGCGCAACCGCUGCUUCACUGGCUUGGAACCAGCUCGAAUCUCCAAGGAGUGCUCGGCGACUUCCCUCGGUAUGCCUGGCAUGUCCGAGGGACUCCAUGCAAACAUGUCGGCAUUUGCACGGAGAAAGUCGACGAGCACCGCUUCCUAUUUGGGGUCGAGGUCGGUGCUGAUCGUCAGUACUUUGCCGUCGGAGCUGUUGGGGUCGAGCGGGAUCUUCUUGGUUCCUUCCGCCGCCUCGAAGCUGCCCGCGUGGCGCUUAGGCUCUGGAGCCUCAGCGGCCAGGGCCUCGAGCUUCGCGACGAGCUCGGUGGAGUUCUCGACCGCCUCCCCGUACUCGAUGCACUCGACGUCGCACUCGUACGCGUGCUCGAAGGAGGAACUGAGAGUGAUGACACCUUUGGGACCGGGCAUCUUCAGCUUCAAGUAGAUGUAGUUGGGUAUAGCCAUGAACUUGGCGUAGCCCGGGCGCCCGAUGAUGGCGUGGUACGUGCCUCGAAACCCAACCACCUCGAAGGUGAGGGUCUCCUUCCUGAAGUUGGCCGCCGUGCCGAAGCAGACCGGUAAGUCAAUUCGACCUACUGGCAGCGCCUUUUUUCCUGGCACGACGCCAUGGAACCCGCCGGCACUUGGUUGGAGCUUCCCUCUAUCUAUGCCGAGGAGGUCAAGGGUCUCGAGGUAGAUGAUGUUGAGGCUGCUACCGCCGUCCAUUAGCACUUUCGAGAGCCGGGUGUUGACGAUGAUGGGGUUGACGACGAGCGGGUAGACGCCUGGGGCGACUACCUUGUCGGGGUGGUCUUCUCGGUCGAAAGUGAUAGGAGUGCUUGACCAGCUAAGGUAUUGGGGCACCGCCAUUCUUGCUGCAAAGACUUCGCGACGCUCCCAAACUUUCUGCCAUAGCUUAUCAGCUUAGCUGCCGUUCAAGCGAACAAUUACACCCAUAGAUUGUGGUGAAUAUACUUUAAAAAGAUAUUAAAGUGAAUAUAUAUGUAUUUAAAUUCAGCCCAAACUGGCCUAAACCAAUCCAAGCCUGGCCCAAAUCAACAGUAGCUGUGCUCUGAAGUCUGAACCGGUGGAUCACAAUGGAUAGCUGAGACGUCUUUCUCAACUCUAUCCUCUCUCUCCUUUCUUCGUUACGGGCUUACGGCAUUUCUCUCUCGCUAUCUCUAUCUGCCGCCUCCGUUCGCCGCCCCCUGACGUGGAGGGCGCGGGUGUGCCGUGGAGGAUCGCGCGCCAUGGAGACCGGUGCGGGCGAGUGCCGUGGAGAGUCCGGCGAGCCGCGCCGCCGUGGAGAAGNNNNNNNNNNNNNNNNNNNNNNNNNNNNNNNNNNNNNNNNNNNNNNNNNNNNNNNNNNNNNNNNNNNNNNNNNNNNNNNNNNNNNNNNNNNNNNNNNNNNCUCCCGAAGAGUUUCUCCUGACUUCUGCUUGCACUUGCUGAGGUCCCAUGAGUUCCCUGGUCGUAUGUAGGUCCCUUUGAAGUUACCCUCGAAGACUCUGACCAGAUCAACCCAGUUGUGGAUCUGAUUGGCGGGGAGUUCCUCGAGCCAUCGACGGGCGGUGUCAGAGAGGAAAAGGGGUAGCUGUCUGAUGAUGGCUCGAUCAUCACCUCGAGCGCCACCUAGCUGACAGGCCAGCCUGAAGUCGGCCAGCCACAACUCUGGUUUGGUCUCUCCAUUAUACUUCGCGAUGCUGGUCGGGGGUCGAAAUGGAUUGGGCAGGGGCGUGCUGCGGAUCGCCCUGCUGAACACCCGUGGGCCUGGUGGCUCGGGGGCCACCCGGUCCUCGUCGCUGUCGUAUCUCCCACCGCGAUGCGUGCUAUAACCGCGCUCUUCCGCGUCUCCGUGCCGGCGGCGUCGAUUUUCUUUGAUGUCGUGCCGCGCGUCAUGUCGAUGUUGACCGUCGACGGGGAGGAUGAGAGCGGUCUUUCUACCUCGAGGGGGAGGUUGUUGUUGGACUGACACCUCCUCUUCGUUUAGAGGCUGUUCGUCGCGCUUCUCUGUGGCAGCUCCUCGCCGUCGAGACGUCGAACUUUCGGCUUGUUGAACCGCCGCCACCUGGAGCAAUGUCUGUACCUCAUCUCGAAUGCGUCGGGCCUGGGAAUUCGACGGCUCUGGCAUGUUACGUAGCAGCAUCGUCGCUGCCACUACAUUCUGGCCUGCUCGAGGGAAACGGCCGACAGGUUGCUCUGCCUCUGAGUCGCCGACGAUCUGUCGAUGUACCUCGAGCGCGUCUGCGGACACUUCCGCCCGGCGGGUAGGGCAGGUCUUGCUCGAGGAUUUGCUCGAGCAGGACGAGGCGCUCGCGGUCUUCGUCGAGCUUCAUCUUGAGCUCCCGCAGCUGCGCGAGCUGCGCGAUUCUGUCUUCAUGAUGAGGGGGGUCGACCUGUCCGUCGUUCCCAGGCGUCCUGGGGUCUUCUCGCGCCGUGGGGGCUCGACCUCCCGCAGGAGCAUCCCGGGUCUCGUCAGUAGUUUCUACCGCCCCGUCGAUGUGAUAGCAUUCCCUCGUAGGGUCAUAGCUGUCCGUCUCGGAGUCGGAGUCCGGUUCGGCGGCGUAGAAACACCCACGUCCUUCCUCCAGCAAUCGUUGCCUGAGGGAGGUGAUCGAGUAUCGUCCGGGGCCUAGACGACGGAGGCCUUGUACUCGGGAAAGGUCCGGCAGCUCGGACGCCGACUGCCGCGCUUCAGAGCUACGUGGGAGGACCAUUGGUCUUUCUACGUACGUCUGGGCGUUUGGGCAUAUCGUCCUGGCGAGCGACGCCGCGGCGUUGUUCAAUCCGAACGGCAGUGCCGCUCUUGGAGUGAACAACCCGUGUGGAAGUAGCCUAGUAGCAGUGGGGGAGAGCACGCGAGACGUGUCACCUCCCGUCGUCGCGCGGUGCUGAGUCGUCGCGCUUGUUGCUCCGUCCCACGGUGCCGCCGACUUGUGGCCUACGCCCUGCCUCGCACGAGUUGUUGGUCGUGCUGAAGCAGAGGGGCCGCGGUGGUGCUGUCCGCGCCUCUUCUUAGGCGGGGAGGCGUGGUGGUGAGGGCGUCUCGGGGCCUUCAACCGUGCUGGCGUAACGCGGGCUCCUCCUGGUCCUUUGACUGAGAGCAAGAUCAUGUCGUAGCCGGAGCCCGUAGACAUGAACUCGAGGCUCCCAAACCAAAUUACCGUGGAGCGCGGAAACGGCGAGGCAAGAGUAGCCAUCCGGAAAGGAGUGGGAAGUCGAUGAAAAAACACGCAGGACCCCUACCUGGCGCGCCAACUGUCGGUGUUUUCCCUCGGGGGGGGGUCACACCAACGAGUAAAUUUGUAUGCGUGCUCCCUUUCCCGGAUGGUGAUGCAAGAAGACACAGAGAUUUAUCCUGGUUCGGGCAAGAGAAGGCCCUACGUCCAGCGGGGGGAGAGAGUUUGUAUUAUCUUGCACCUAAGUGCUUGUACAGGGGCGAAUACAAGCGUGGUAUGAAGUGUGAAGCUCUACUACGCAUGAGCGUGGACUUGUCUUCUUGUUUUCGUCCUUCCGUUCUAUUCCUGAGUCUCUCCUUUUAUAGCUCCAAGGAGAGACCCAGGGUACAUGCGUAGACGCUAGAGUAGGGGUCGAUAGCCGCAUGGAGCGCUGACCUACUCGAGGCUUCCGUACGGCAUGGCCUCGAGCCGUCCCAUCUUGAUAGCCCGGUGAUGAUUACGCGUGCUCCUGCGUUCGGCCCUGCCCGCCGCCUCGCGCUGGUUCUGAGGUCGCAUGCCGGUACGGUAUGGCGGCGGAUCCGACGGGGUAGCUGUGGUGUUGUCAGUCGACGCCCAACUUGCCCCUAGGAAGGGACCCUGUUCGGUCGAGGGUCGGACGCCGUGUAAUGUGCUGAUAUCUGGAGCGCUGACCUUGGAGGUCUCGAGGGGGUCUCGAUUAGACGUUCCAUCCUUGUUCCCUGCGUCCUGACACGCCCUUGAUCGUUCGGUGGGAAGGCUGCAAAAAGAACGAUGGGACAGAAGCCUCCCGUGACCCGUGUCUUAGGUGGGGAAGCGUCAGGCGCAUUAAAUGCCCUAGCUCCCGUGCGCGCGUCAGGCGGCGGACAGUGUCCUUGCGCUCGAUGCCUCUCUGUUCGCUCGAGCCCGUUUCCGUAUUCGACGGCAGUGGUCGCUCGAGCCUUGACCGAUUCGCUCGACGGCAUUUCCGUCUUCGAGGUACCCCUUGUUGAUACCCUCGACAUUAAGCUUGAUAGCGACCAUUUAUACAGUCAACUUGCCAAGCUUAAGCCCAUAUAAUCUCCGUAGUCCGUGAAAUCUCGAAGGAUUUCGAACCACAAUCGUACAUACACCCAAGAUCGUAAUAAGUCCAGGGAUCACCAUCCACAAAUACAUCCAGUUCGCAACAUUCAGAGAUUACAUCGGAGUUCAAAUAUAGUUAUUACAAAACAAGUUCAAGAGUAGCGGAAGCAUCAUAGUUUUAAAAUAACGCACACAGUUAAAAUGGUACAGUGCCAUAGUUUGGUCAUUCCCACAACAGCAAAAGAAGAGGUAGAGUGACCAUCGCCCUUGGUCUAGUCAUCACCCAUUGCUGGGUACAAGCAGUGAAUGCAAUACCCAUAGUACAUUUGACCAUCUGCAAAACAACAUGGGAAUGGAACUCUGAGUACGAGAAUGUACUCAGCUAGACUUACUCGUCAUAAACUAAAAAUAAAAGACUCUUCAAGGAUCAUAAAGGCUAUAUAGUGGAAUAGCCGAACUCUUUUUGCUUAAAAAGCAUUAACCAUCUAGAAGUAUAUCCUGCCAUCCCCUUUUAUUUUAUUUAGCUCAAGUUAGGUAUUAAUACCUACCAUCUAGAUUUGCACCUAUACUACUGCAAACAAUUUUGUUAUGAUAUGAUAAUACCUCAUCAUAGCAUUCACAGUUCAUCACUUAUCAUAACCCAAGUGUUUCAUAGUCCUUACUACGAGGACAGGGCUCAUGUCAAGUGCUCACUAUCCAGGGAGCGAUGGUGAUUCGAAUCAAUUUCUAUCCAGCUGGCGAGUUAUUCACCGCACAAACCACACUCACUGAUCAAGUGAGCUACAAAUCACCAUAUUACACUAUCCUGGACCAAUUCGCGGGUUCGGCAGGCACCGCCAGUACCCAAGAACCGUUCUUGCGACUGACGUAUCCAAGGUAUACCAAGGUUGCACGCCGCGCCCUCGUUGUUCUCCUCAACCAUAACCAAUACAACGCAUAGCGGCUCGACUCCCAGCCCGGAUAGUGUUUAGGCUUCACGGUCGGAACGACUUAUCCUUCCAGCUAAGUGUGGGGCAUGCGUUCAACAUGACAAGAGGGCCGUCAAGGAUCGGUCCUUAAUCGACACAGGUAGGGGCACUACGGCCAACACCACCAUAAGACCCUGCCCGGUCUAAGUUUCUUUCCCACACUUGGUUACUUUUCACCAUAGCAUUGACAGCUAACAUUCAGGUAUCCACCUAUAUCUCGCAGGUGACAGGAAAUCACCCAACUUCUACCGUACUAAGCAAACUAAGCAUAGUCUCCGAGCCUAUCUACAUAGGACAAGGUAGAUAAACAGGUGGUGAUAUCAAGGAGUAAAUAUGCGUCAACGGUAUCAAGCAACUCCUAUCACUUAAAUGCAGCAUUAUGAAACAAUCAUAGUAUAAUAAAUUAAGUUAGCAAGAAUAGAGAGACUUAGAAUGCUGCAGGGCUUGCCUCUCUCGAAGGUUCUAGGCCUGUGGUCCGGGCACUCCUGUAGAUCUCCUUCCGCCUCUGGUCCUUCCGGAAGUUCCUGCUCCUGUGUCUCCUCCUGCUCGUCGGGUCUCACCUCGUUCUCCUGCGAGCUUGUAUGAUGCAUGUGUGCUCAUGAGUGGAGUGCAAGAUGCCUGAAGUGCAAUGCUUAUGCAGCCAAGACGAGAUGCUCAUGACAAGGUGCAUAGAUGAGUAUGUACAAACCCCAUUCCCAGUGGAGAUGAGUUCCAACGGAUAAAACAUGAAACUUAUUCUACAAGGUAGUCAACAUCAUCCAAGAACAUGUGACCAAGCAAAGCAUUUAUUGCAUUCUCUUCUACAAAUUAUUACUAACCAGCAAGCUACCAUGAUGCUUCACAGAUACACCAAACACACAUGCAUUUUAUUCAUCUCAUGCAUAACAAGGUUUUAUUUAUUCAAAUAUUAUUAGGCCUACAACAGUAGCAUAUACUUCUGAUCUUCAAUAAAUUCUACAAAAACUACAGUAGGUCACUGGUUAUUUAUAAAAUCUACCACCAAUUUUUCAUAAUAUUUGGACAGGUAAUCUGGCCCACACAAAAAUCACAAGUUUAACCUCAUAAUGAAGUGUAAAUACCCUACUGGUGACAAAGUGUCAAACAGCAGAUUUUAUAUUUUUAUAAAUUACUUACUAACAUAAGAAAUGUACACAAAAAUUUCCAUAUUAAUUGCAUGCCCAAUUAUUUAUUAAAAAUCAUAAACCACUGCCAUGCAAGCAUUUAAAUCAUCAUAAAUAAAUUCCUACAGCAAAUAUUGUCUUACAUAUUUUUCCCACAGACUAAACUUCCAUGCGAAGCUACCAAAACAAGAAUCACAUUUUUCUGAGCAAUAUUUUAUUUACUGCACUUUUUCUAAAUAACAGCAAAAUCAUGGAAUAAAUAUAUUUACACAGAAAAGUUGUACAAACAUGACAUGCAAUUAUACUAAGUUGUAGAUCUAGAUUUAUAGAACAUGUCAAAUUUUGUUUCACCCUUUUUGGAGCUGUAGAACUCAUGUUAUGUAAUAAACAAGAUUUAAAUAGAUUUCUGUAAACCUUUAUUUAAAAAAACCGAGGGAAAACGCUAAAUCUACCCAGAUCCACAACCGCAGAGACGCUGAUAGGCAGGCCCCAGGGAUUCAUGGCCCCACUGGUCAGCCACGCCAACACUCCGACCGCCUUCGACUGGCCGGCUAUCGCCGUCGGCGAGGUUUCCGGGGGCGCGGCCGCCACCUACGGCGUCGUCUCGGCGAGACGAAUGUGUUGCGCUAUCUCACGACGCCUGAGGAGGUCUCUAGCGGCGGGAAUGGCGCACGGCGAAGCUCGGUGGCGCUGCUCACCGGCAUCCGGCAGUCUCCAGCCGAGAGAGCGCGAAUGGAGUGGUGCAAAGGGUUCGCGGCGGUGCGGCGAACAAGUUGCGCUUGCUACCGAGAAGAAAGAAGGUCGGGAAGGGGGAGAUUCGCGCAGAUCGAGAUCUCGCCGGAGCUCUGGCCAUGGCACGGCGGCGGAAUCUAGCCCAAUACCUUGAUGCGGAUGGCCAAGAGGGGGCGCACGGGGUAGAGCUCGUUAAGGCGGAGCUAGGGGCGAGUCCAAUCGGGCGCGGGUGGUCGAGAUUGCGAGCUUGACUGCACCGUUAGUGGCGCACAGCGGAGCGACACCGCGGCUGCUGCUACUGCGCUCGCGAGUGGAGAAGAAAAGAGAGAGAGGAAGGGACAGAAUGGAGGGCGGCCUAGGGGAGCGGGGCGGCGUCCCAACCAGAAGGCGUGGUCGGAGCGGCCGUGGACCCCCGUCGCCGAUGUACGGCUGCCACGUGGUGGCCGUCGGUGAGGGAGGGGCGGGCGCGUCCGCGCACGGGGAGGAGGAGCGGGCCGAAAGGGAGGCGGUCGGCCCAGCAGCGCCAGCCCCCUUUUUCUUUUUUUUUUGAAUUUCUUUUUCCCAAAAGAGCUUAAAUGUGAAUUACGAAGCUUUUGCAUAGUUUUUCAGGAUUUGGGGUGAAAAGAAGAAAUGUUCCCCAUAAAAUACUCUACAACUUUGCUUCAAAGUGCAAGUCCAAAUUCCAAAUAGAAUUUGAAUUACAAAACAAAACCAGUUCUAGGUUUUUAAAUAAACCAAUUUGGGGAAUUUUGUAUAAAAUUCAUUUCUCAAAUUCUAGAGCUCCAAAAAUUCCACAAAAUUAUUCUUAAUUCUUGUAAAACAUAGUUCAACUUUCUUUGGUCAUUACAAGCAAUUUUAAAGCAAGCAUAUUAAUUUAUUAUAUUUAAUUUGAUUUAACUCGAGCACAUAAAAUCACAAUUUAAAUGCUACUAUGCUCAUGUGAUGCUAUGCUCAUGCCCAUGCUUGAUGAGAAUGCUUAUAAGUAAGUUUAUGAGACUAAGUGCAUGCUUAACACCUAGGGUGUUACAGGGGACGUCGUGGCGACCUGGUGGACACGUUGGGUGCUGACAAGCGUGACCAACGGCGACGUACGGACGCCAUGGGUCCAAACACGCGGCGGCACCGGCGAGCUCCUCCCCACUGAUGCUGCCCUCAUUCAGUCUGAAACCCGACUGAAACUCAAUUUUGAGCCGCGAUUAACUCCUAAUUUGAUCGAUGGUUUUGCUGUCUAAUUGCUCCAUGAUGUAGAGCUACAAGAGGACUCGAGCUUUGCUUAAAGGAUCACAACUUGGUUCGGCCUAGAUUUCAAACUAGAAGCCACCAAAGGAACCCUCGAGCAAACUGGGUGAAUUCCAAACUUAGAAAAAUUUCUAAGUGUUGGAAACAGCCCCAAUUUCUGCCUUGUGGGCCACUUUUGAGCCUGCUCUGCACAUUUUCAUGAAUUGACUCCAAAAGAACUUUUGUUGCUUAGGAAAUUUGCCACAACUUUGCUGAACGGUGCAUCAACAUGCAAGAAAUCUAGCAUGGACUUCAUAAAGGAUCUUUGAAAAGCACUCUAGAGGGUCAAACUUGGUCAAACAAGGAUAACUAGGUCCUAAGUUCACUUUUGGGCUAAACACUCAACAUGAACAUUGCUUCUUAGGGUAUGUUAAGCAAAGAUAAACUAUUUACCAAGGCUUAGGGCACAAACAAGAGCAUGGCAUAAACAAACAUAAGCAUAGAGAGCACAAUUAAACAAGUUAAACCACACUUAUGUAUAAAAUGACAUGAGCCAAGGUGAAUGAUGAUCAUGGUAUGCUUAUGAAGAUGAUUAUGCUCAUGUUAUGCAUGUGAAAGGAUGUAACCAUGACACUGGGGUGUAACACUGUGUCCAGCAGGGGGGAACUUGUAUUAUCUUGCACCUAAGUACUUGUACAGGGGUGAAUAUAAUAAAGAUCGGGUGUGGGUUCUGAGUCCAGGCGGGGUGGAGUGGCGUAGGUGAGCUAUGUUCUACCUAUAUUAUGUCCUCUGUCUCUCACCACUAGUGUCCCCUUUUAUAGACCAAGGGGAGGCUCAAGGUUACAAGAUGUAGGUGCUAAGGUGUAACACCCCAGGUGUUUGCCACGAGUUAGACUUUAGAGUUUGAGCUCAAACGUGCCAAGAUAAGUGGCGAUGAUCAUGUUAAGGUCAAUCCAUGAAAGUGAGCCUCAAGUUAAACUUGGAUAAUGCACCCUUGCUUACAUAUAGCCUAUUUUGAAAAUGCAUGCUUAGGUGACAUUAGUGGAACCUCUUUCAUGUGUCCUACAUCCAUCAAUACCUAUAGUGAUCACUCAAAAUGUUUCAUGAAGUUUGGAAUCAAAAGGUCACAUGAAACGAUAAGUUACGUGCUUGUUGGAAUGGCCUCAUUAAGUGAAUAGAACCAUGAGUCAUCAACCAAUAUUUUCAAUCUUGCCCAAAUGAGUCUAGAUGAACUCUACAACAAAAGUCAUGAAGGGUUCAUGUUGAGCUUGUGCCUAGAAAAUGCUUCAAUUGGCCUAAAACCUUAUGUCAAGCUUUAUCAAGUUGCUACUUUGACCAAAGCGAAAGUUUGACUUCUAUUCUUGUUCUGAGGGUUGACCUUAAAUAAAAGUUGUAGUUUAGCUUAUGUAGAACAAACUCUGUUUAAUGGUCAAGAACUAGUUUGGUCCCUAACCUAGUCCAAUUGAGCUGAAAACAUUCAAUGCAGUGCUGUUUUGCUACCUUCAGAAAUUGGCUAAGUCAAAACUGUGUUUCAAUUUUGGGUAUCCAUGUUGGGAGCCUUGUAUCUUACCAACCAUUCCAAAACAGUAUAAGGUCCUUUAACAAAAGUUGUAGUACAGUUUGUAUGCUACAAACAUUGUUAAAAUUCCCAAGUCCAAAUCAUCUUCUAAGCAUGUCAAAUAAUGAUCACAAGAUUGAAUCUGCUAUAAUUUCCAGCACUUCGAAUCUCAAGUCUGGAAUUACAGUUCAUCACGUUGGCAUUCCGCAUUCUCCAAAUUUUACUAAACAACUUGUUUGGGUCCCAAAACAUAAGUUGGAGUACAUGUUGUGGACAAGAGCAUACCAAAAGAUGACACCAGUUUGACUUCGUUUUGGUCAUCAAUUUUGAGUUUUGCUAAUGAUUAUCAAUUCAUUGAGACUCAUAGAUUGGCAUCAAAUUAUCUACAAAUAUAUAAGUCUAAUGGCUAUGCACCUUAAACAUGAAAUGUAGAGUAGGUCGAGUUCAGCAAACUUCAUAUUCGGCCCAUGUCCAAAUUCGACCCAGAAGCGGCCCAAAUUUGUCUCCCACGCUGACCACAUCGUUGCCAGACACGUGCUCGGUGGAAUGCCUCAAUGGCAGGACACGUGGAGAGCGUGUGGCGACCUUGCACAGCGCCCCCACCUCCAUUGCUGCCACCUCCACCUUGCUUUUCCCCGUUAGUGCCAGUGUGGAGAAGCACCAGAGCGUCCCCAACCUCUUUCACUCGCGUCACCCGCCCCCCUGCCUCUCUCCUUGCUGUCUGCUCGCCAUGGCAGUCCACCGCCAUGGACGGACGAGCAGCUCGAGCUGCUGCUGUGCCACUGCUGCCUGCAGCCUGGGCUAAGCUAGUGCCCGACGUCGUGGCCUGCAGUUGCCGGGCUCCAACACUCUUCCUCCGCGGUCGCAAGUGCCCAUGGCCGGCAUGCUCCGUCUCUGGUCUCUUUGAUGCAAGGAGAAGGAUCUCGGUUAGAAUAUGAAACAACUCAGGUUUCCAGAUGCGAAGCCAAAACUCAUAUGAAUAUUAUUUGUGGGCUGUGGCGUGAUUCCUGGAAACUCUACGGUUCCCGGUGCAAGAUCGGUUUUCCUUUUCUUUUGUUUUAGCAGAUUUCUGGGUGAAAUUUGAAAAUGCAUAGUAAUUCAAAGAAAAAUCGUAAAAUAGGAAAUGUGGACUUUUUGGAAUCCUUGUGAAAUUCUCUAUGCAGUAGAUCUAUAUUAUUGCAUGUUUUAGUUUGAAGUUUUACCCACAAAAAUAAAUUUAUGCAGUUCAGUUUUAAUUGCUUGUUGUAAUUGUCUUUUUCAUAACCACUGUACUAUUGCUCAAAUAAAUGUGAAAAAUAUUGUGACAAGAUUUUCAUAUGAGGUUUGAUGUCUGGUAAAAUUUGCAUGAAUUUAGUGCUGACAGAUUAAGAGUUAUAAAUAUACCAAAUGCCCUGUGUUGCUUUGCUCCUAUUCUGAGUAGGUUUGCAUGUUUAUAUUGUUUGGCUCAGUUAGGUUGGGAAUCAUGCCUGGAUGAAAAUAUAUGAGUUGUAGUAAUUUUCAUAAGAUUUCCAUCAAGAUAAAUAGAAGAAAUUGUGGUUAAGCAUAUGUUUAGUUAUAGUAGUUUAAAGUACUGUUUAAGUUUCUGUCUAAACCCAGACAGGGAUGCAUUGUUUGUUAUGUUAGACCUUGUUAGUUGUAGAUUUAGCUCUAGAUGUUUAUAAUAAAGUUGUUCACAAUUUAGUAAGCUUUCUAUAAAGUACAUAACCAUGAUUUAUGGGCCUAUGAAACUCAAGUUAUGACUGUUUAAUGUGGCAUGAUAGAUUCUAUCCAUGUUUUGAACAGAGAUGUCUUCAUGGGGCCUGUUAAAUGGUUUAUAAUUGUAAAUAAAAAUGUGAAAAUGGAAAAUGUGGGUCCAAUACAAUGAUAUAAUAUUGUUGUAUCAUGUUGACAUAUAAUAUGGUUAUGUGUUUGAAGAAAAUAUGAUUUGUGCAUUUAUCUUGCUCUCACAUAGUUAAUUGCAAUAGCAAUUUGUCUUUUUCAUAGAUGUUGCUAUGUUUAUCCAAAUGCAAUGAAAUUUGUACAGUAGACUUUGGAUAGUAUGUAGAAGCUACUGUAAUUUUGAUGGAAUUUACUGAGCACUUUUGGUAUAUGUUAUUUAAUUCACCUUAUUAUCCAAAUAAACUAAGAAAUGCAUUCAAUAAAUUUAUUUGGUAAUGACCACUAUGUUUUCUGGUGUUCUUUAGAUAUAUGCAAACUGUUGGUAACAAUGGUUUUGCUCAAAUGCAUGUUUGAAACAUAAGUUAAUAAUUAAUUGUUUGCAAUUGUUGUUUCUGGACAGUUUCUGGAACUGUUUGGAUUACAAUAUGUAAAUGAUGUUUUAUGGGAAUCUUGUUUAUAGCGAAGUUGUAGAUAAUUUAUUUAUCUAGCUGCUGUUAAAAUUUGGUAGUAUCUGGCCUUGUGGUUUGUGAGUUAUAUCUGUUCAAAUUUUGAUUCCAGAAAUGGCUGCUCUCUGUUUGUCAGGGACAGAUUCUGGAACUUUAUAAUUUCGACCAGCUUAAGUUGAGAAUCAUGCUUUGAUGUCUAAAUAUAAAAUGUAGAUAGUUUUUUAAGAUUUUCAGAAUAUCUUAAUUCAUAUCCUUUGGUGUUGUGUAACUCCAGUUAUGAUUUAUUUUCUCAUCUGCUGCUAACAGUCCUUGUAUUGCUGUUAUAUUGCUAAGUCCAGUUGCUUGGUAUAUUGCUAAGUAUGACUCAUGUCUUAGAUAACGGCCAAGUUAAUACACCUGAGAUCUUGUGAAACAUGUAUUCCAUGCCUGAUAUACUUGGUUGCAUUCUUUUCUAUCUUAGUAUGUUGGUUGUGUUAUGUUACUUAAGCAACAUGAAACACAUAUGUAUGUGCAGAGUAACAUGAUACUUGUCUUGCUUACUGCACAAGUGUUGUGAACUUAGAUGUCGUCAAGACGGUGCAAGCUAACUUAAUUGACUUGUGUCAGAUUCCAGGCAAGCCCCGGAGCAUUCUAAGUCUCCUACCCUCUCUUUUUACAAAAGUACAAGCGUAUAACUUUAUAUGAUGCAUUAGGUGGUAGGAGUUGAAUGAAACCGUUGGUGCAUAUAUUCCUUCCCUGUCCACUAUAUGAAACUAUCUGAACCCUUACUAGUAUAAGAAAGACGUUCUAUGCUUAACUAUGCUUAGCUCAGUAGAAGCCGGGUGAUUUCCUAUCACUUGCGAUAGGAUACCUGAUCACGGUUGGCUAUAUUUACUAUCAUGGAAAUAACCAUGUGCUAAUAAUAAAGUGAGACCAGGCGGGAUGAUGAUAGUGAAGCAACAAGGCAUGGAGGUCUUGGGUGUGAAUCUACCCCGUCUGUGUCGUUUAAGGACCGAAACGCUGUACGUCCUCGUGUCAUGUUGAACGCAUGCCUACCACUUAGUUGGCCGGAUAAGACGUUCCGACCAUGAAGCCUACUAGUGCAACUCCGGCCGGAUACCCCGAUCUGGUUAAAGUGCGCACCCCGGUUGGUAGCAAGGAUGUGUGGGGAGUCAAUGGCGUAAGACCAAGGUGUCAGGAUAGAGUCCUGCCUUGGCAGAUUGGUGGUCCCUGGGGGUGCGGCGCCGUACGGACCCGCGACUUGGUCUGGAGUUGUGAUAAAGGUGAUCCGAGCUGCCCUCGCGAGGUAUGCCUGGGUGAGUGCUAGGAAUACCCCUCCAGCUGGAUAGGAAUCGAUUUGAAUCGCCGUCUCUCCCGGAUAGUGAGAACUUGACUCGAGCAGCGGCAACAUAUAAUUCACUAAAUAAACUUAAUGGUUAUGAUGAUGAUGAUGGCUACAUGAUAAACCGAACAUGGUUAUUAAUGUGAUGCUUAUUAAUCAAGUGGUUGCUAUAGAAUAGGUGCAAAAUCUAGCUAUGGUAGCUUAAUUGAACUUGAUGGUAAAAUAUUGACUAAAAGGUUGAAAGUGUUGAAAGUAAGGACUCAUGAUAGUAAUGCUCUUUUUGGCAAAGUUAUGCUAUGCAACCAACUCCACCAAAUAGCCUUGCUUAUCCUUGAGAGUCUUUUAUUUCUCUCCUGUCGGGUAAGUCUAGCUGAGUACAUUCGAGUACUCAGGGUUUAUCCCACCAUGUUGCAGGUAAAGUCUUCAGCCUGCUAAAGAUGGUGGCUAACCACCGGUGGGCUCGGUGAUUCUAUAUAGUAUUCUCAUCUACAUGCUUUUGUCGGAGGAUGUCACUUAUGCUAGCAAUGUAUUUGGAACUUAUGUUAUUGUAAUCAUUUGAAAGCUAUGUUGUUUUCUAAUCAAUUUGGAAAAUCCAAACUUGUACUAUUAUUUGUGAACUCUUUUGUAAUAUUAUUUCCGCUGCAAAUCUCCGUGUAUGUGAUGUGUAUUUGCUUAAUCAUGCGAUCUUGGUGUAAAGUUGAUUUACCGAGGUCCUUUCUGACACUCGGCAGACUACCGAGUUUAUAUAAGUGAUAGUAUGCGCGUGUCAACGUGUUAAGCGGGGACAGUCGUACUUGAACUUGUAUAAAUUGGGUGGUUCUAUCACAGCUGGCAUCAGAGCAAGAUUAAGUAUAAUACUAUCAGGUACACUAUUUUAAAAACAAAGUUUUGGUUUUAAAAAUCCUAUUUUGACUAAAACUUUAGCUACAGCCAAAACUUGUCAAAACUAAUUUACAAAAACUAUGCUAGCGACAACCUCCAAUUAUGCCCAAUUAAGGACUACUAGGUGGCUUUAUGUAAACUGAUAUUAACUAUGGGGGUUUACUUUAUUGCAACUUUUACUUUCGUCGUCCAUACGGCGUGCAAUAGUAUGGAUGUCACUUACUUCAGUGGUAAUGAAUGGAUCACAUACCUCUACGUCACGGUAAGUAAUAUUUUCCCUUCGUCGUCCAUAGGGUGUGAAAUUAUAUGGAUGCCACUUGCUUGAGUGGUAAUGUAUGGAUCUACAUGCCUCGACGCCCAAGGUAAGAAGAUGAGUUGUGAGAGCAUGACCGUCCAACCGUCGGUCUAGGGGAGAGUUAGAUGUGGUUACUGGAAUAUUUACAUGUUACACACAUAUCUAUAUGAAGGUACUUAAUUGUGGGUUAGUUGGUAUGUCCGUGUAUACAUGCCUCUCUGUAUACAUGGGCGUGCUUCACAUGGGUAGUAUGCUGCAAUAUAUAUUUGGGAAUAUAUAUUGGAGUAUUUAGCUUUCAACCUAGAGACCAGAUUUUCAUUUCUGCACAUAUAUUAUUGUUGGGUUAGGCUGAAAUGAAAUUCUUCUGUAGGUACACUAACCCCGAAUGUAUAGAUUGAACAUAGUUGACGACUAGCUAUAUGUCGAGAGAGUACGUGUUAUGCCACCGACAUAGAACGUGAUUGUCACUAUAGGCUGGCAAUUUUGUGAGGACGAAUAAGACGAAGCAUGCAUCCUUAUGAUUGUUGCAUUAUGUAUGACAAUGCUUCUCCCACCUUGUUCCAAUAAUUUGUAACUUGUGAGUGAUGUGAUGCUACUCUUUUCGUUGCGUGAAGCUAUACAAAAGUGGCCAUAUUCCAUGCUACUUGAAUAGUUUUGCUUGAAAGUAGUGUGUGAUGUGUCUAACCUUGAAAUGUUUGCUUCUAUAAGAAUCUACAAUCAUUUGAAAGGUGAAGCUUGUCGGUGAACAUGUAUGUGAAUAUUUUCCAAUGAAUCCUCUAAUGUUAAUUAACUAAGUAAAAGUAUGGCCUACCUAUAAUACAAAUAGAUAUGGCUAUAUGCUUGAACUUGUAGGUGUCCGCUUGUUUAGCCAAAAGGCGAAUACGUUGCUCCUACAAGCGUUUGCAAAUACUUUAACCUCACUUAAGCAAUUGUGAUUCUUAUGUUAAUCCCUCCUUGUCACCAAACUAAAAUUAUUAUUUGUCAAGAUAAUAAUGUUUGUUGCUACUAGACUUAUACAUGUGUGUGCUCUCUUGUUAAAAGAACAAGGGAAAACAUUACUUGAUAUGUGUGUUGAAUUACUAGUGGUGUUUUCAUGACAAUAAUGGUGUUUUCUGUAAUUAUAGUGAAUACAAAAGUUGUAGCCAACCUCAAUAUCUAGUCUAUCCUAAAAUUUCAUGACCAUAGGCCUGAUUGUUUAGGAGUUAUGAACUUUUGAAGUUUGUUGUCAGAUCCUGAUCAUGUUCUGAACAGAUCUGAAUGUUUAAUUUGUUUGACUAGUGUGCAUAAAGAAUCAUGUCUUGGAGUUAAUAGAAGAAGUGUUGUACUUUUGUUAAGGUUUCCAAAAUAUCAUAGAUCACUACUUUUGGUGGUCUAAAUCUUAUGUUAUGAGCCUGGGAAGUAGAAUGACUGAAUCUAUCAAAAAUCUGAAUAGAUAUGUCUUCUUUGUAUUGUUUGUGCUUGUUAGCUGUAGAAGCACCUUAAGAUGAUAAUAAGAAAAUUAUAGAGAACUCGAUAAGUUUUCCAUAACAUUAAAGAUCAUGUUUGUUCGAUCAACAGAACUUUAGUUAUCAUUUUCUAAACUUCACGUCAAGUUCUCUAUCCAAGUUUAGGCAGAGCUGAUUGCUAUUCUUUUUCAACCUUGGUAGAUUUGAUAAUCUUUCUCUGCUGAGUUUUCCUAAAUGCUAAACUCUUUCUUGUGGUAUGUCCAUUUGCAUGACAGUGCAGCCAUGCCAAAAAUCUUUUGGAGCCCUUUUUACUAUCUAUCUCAAAACAUAUUCUCCCUAAAAGACUGAGCCAUGUCCACUUACUUUGUAGAACACCUUGUAUCAUAAUCCUUGUAUGUGGGACAAAUGUGUUGUAUUGCUGUAGAUAAAUGCUUGUUAUAUGUAAGCCUUGUGCUUAGUAAUGGUUGUUUAAGCGUGAUUGUUUGAGUUUCUCAAGUACUUGCUUAAAAACUGUUAUGUUGUGUGGAUGUUAGUUAUCUAGAUUGUGUGUUGGUUGUAUCAAAUUAGGUUCCAUUUCUUAGGAGCCGAGCUCAUAGACUUGACUGUUAGUUUUUGAAUGUUAGAGCAUCCAUGACUAUGCUUGAUACGUAAACCAAAGUCCAAACCCUUAAAUACUUGCAUAGACCAUGGUUGUCCUACACCUGUUUGCAAAUGUCCUUGUCUAGCCAACUAGCCUAGGAUAAGUUAUCGCUACAAAAAGCUUUUGACUAUAGUUGUUCUUUGCUAGUUAUGGAGACCAUACCAAAUCCAUGUUGGACCUCCCGAUUGCAUCUCCCAAACUUAGCUUGUGUAAGGCAAUCUUUUGCUGCCUAAUCUUGGAACUCUUUUGCUUUACAAAUAAUGUAACUCCCUGUCAUCUAGAUCUCUGAUUGGGUAGCGUUUUUACCUUUGGAGUUUUCUUUAGUCAUCUCCAGCCUCCCCAAGUCUUGGGAUGCUUAUUGGUUUUGAUCUCAUGUUUUUACCCAACAUGACCGCAUCUCAUAGAUUAAUUGUUGGGCAAUGGGCUUGAUGGGCAUAAGGCAUAUCCAUUUCUGUCUUGUGCCGUGUUCUCGUCCUUUAACCUUCUAGUUGUUACAUCCAUAUCUUGCUGUCAUCUUUGCUUGCUUAAUUUUGUCUUGCACAUGAUCCUUGUACAUGCAAGACUUACCUAUAUCAUGUGAGAUUUCACGUUGGUUGUAAGAUCGGUAAUAGCGUCGUGAUUAAUGACUAACGGUGCCGCGACGAAACCGAGAGCCUCUUGUGGGUGCACACACAGGACUGUGCUGCUCAGCACGCGCUGGUAUCGUGGUUGCUAGUCAUGGUCUAUUAUGAAACUACACUGAUGUGUCAUCUCAUCAUGAGUUUUUCCUUGGUUAUCAUUCCUUAUGUCCAAUCAGAAGAUCUAUAUCAGACUUAUGUAAUAAGACUUCCUUCUGAAGUUGCUAAGAAGAUAACCUUUGAAGAAUAGGUUACCGACAUAAACCUUAGCAGACUGCAAGGGGUGGUAGACAAGAGACUCUAUUUGUUACCCAUGUAACAAUAUCAGUCGUUUAGUGAGUAACUUGUGUCAUCCACUGUUGAAUCCAAAGGGCACACAACACUUAAAGUUGGACAAGUUAUCAGUCAGACAAGAAUUGAUCCAAAUCUUGAUCAUGGUGAUCACACAGUCAUAAUCAACCAUCUCUAUUGUGAUCUCCUUUUUGGCUAACUUUGAUCUUGAUUGCCUACAAAUGCAUCAACUACAAUUGUUGCCACCAAAGAAGAAAGUUUUGUAACUUUUUAGUGUUGAGGGACAACUGGUUAGUUACCAAUAAGAAAGUUAAUAUCCAGCUAGAUAAUGACUCUUUAGUAGCUAUAACAGCUAUGUCUCAUAGACCGCUGUUCAGCAAAGAAGAUAACGAGUCGAUCAAUGAAGCAAAUAUGGCUUCCUUCCCCAAACCCGAUGUUGUCAAGUCAAUUCCCUCCUGGACAAUCACACCUAUAGUACUAGAUGCUAUAUCUGGGUCACAAGCUAGAGAAAAGCACAUCCCUAGUCUCGGUUAGCAUCAUCAUGCGUGUGGUGCUAUCAAAGGUUUUGUUUUGUUUGGUUAGCCAUAUGGUAUUUGUUUGUGCUGAAUUUUGGUUAAACAUGAGAAGACUCUUGGAUCUAUAUACACACUAACCAUUCAUGCAUAAUGAAGCUAGUUUGCGUGGUGUGAACUGAACCAAGAUGAACCUUAGGAUGACCUAUAAAGACUCCUUUCACCCUUGGACACCUAGCUAUUACCCUAUCACAUCAACUGAUAGUUGAGCAAUCUAGGCGUUCUACAAGUCAAAAAUAACUGGAAAGGUGUUAAACAACAAAUGUUAGAUUUAUUGUCUUAGAGCUGUUGUUUGAUCCUAGUAAUGGAAUCCUCAAUCUCAAAGUAGUCUCACCAAGCUAUUCUGCUACAAUGCAAGUCGACCCAGAACCUACUAAGCUGUUGCUUAAUGAGGGAAAUUUUAGUUGACUUGCUUGGUAGUAGCAUGUUUCCCUAGUUGGGUGAAUACUUGAAUCUUUUGUUGUCCUCUAUACCAUGCUAUCAUCCGUCCUUAGCAAUGCUUAUCUAAUGCUAACAUGCCUUCGGUGUUUUCUAUGUUCCUUUUUACCGAAGAGGUCGUAUCUGAUAUGAUCUAGAUCACUGUUAACACUUGGAGCCAUGAAAUUCCUUGAAUGGUAAACACUAACUUGAUAGUCUUAGAAAAUAAAGUGUUGAUAUCAGUGAAAGAGAACUACACACAUGGAACCUUAUGUAGCUUUCCAUCGGUCAUCUGAGUGAUCAGACCUUAUGACUAGAAUAGACAUUGUUUGUUGGUUAGUUGGUUUCUCAUCGCCUCAAAGGAUGUUUGUCAAGUUCUUAAUCUCAUCCUCUGUAGAAAGUUGUGCUCAAGCCAUUCUGGUAGAGGACUGCUUUUCAAACUUUGUGAACCAAGAUGGAAACCUUGUAAUGAGUAGUUUAUGGUGCUCUAAACCAUCCAUCAUACAUUUGGAAUAAAGAACUAUGUUGUCUUGAAUUCCUACCAAAGUAACAAUGCCUCAUGGAAGUCAAUGAAGGAAAUUCUUUAGACAAAAAAAAUCACUACAAAGAACAAGUAUCAGAAAGUGCCUUGAACAAAUCAGCCUCUCCGAAUCUUGGAGAUAAGUAAUUGACUGCUAUCACCAAUGUUGGAAGUGAAUAACAUGCUUCUCUACCCUUGGAAGUCUUUCGCCCUGAAUCUCAGGACGAGAUUCUUUUAAGGGGGGAGGGUUGUAACACCCCAGGUGUUUGCCACGAGUUAGACUUUAGGGUUUGAGCUCAAACGUGUCAAGAUAAGUGGUGAUGAUCAUGUUAAGGUCAAUCCAUGAAAGUGAGCCUCAAGUUAAACUUGGAUAAUGCACCCUUGCUUACAUAUAGCCUAUUUUGAAAAUGCAUGCUUGGGUGACAUUAAUGGAACCUCUUUCAUGUGUCCUACAUCCAUCAAUACCUAUAGUGAUCACUCAAAAUGUUUCAUGAAGUUUGGAAUCAAAAGGUCACAUGGAAUGAUAAGUUACAUGCUUGUUGGAAUGACCUCAUUAAGUGAAUAGAACCAUGGGUCAUCAACCAAUCUUUGCAACCUUGCCCAAAUGACUCUAGAUGAACUCUACAACAAAAGUCAUGAAGGGUUCAUGUUGAGCUUGUGCCUAGAAAAUGCUUCAAUUGGCCUAAAACCUUAAUUGAAGCUUUAUCAAGUUGCUACUUUGACCAAAGUGAAAGUUUGACUUCUAUACUUGUUCUAAGGGUUGACCUUAAAUAAACGUUGUAGUUUCGCUUCUGUAGAACAAACUUUGUUUAAUGGUCAAAAACUAGUUUGGUAAAUAACCUAGACCAAUUAAGCUUUAAAGAUUCAAUGUAGUGCUGUUUUGCUACCUUCACAAAUUGGCUGUCAAAACUGUGUUUCAAUUUUGGGUAUCCAUGUUAGGAGCCUUGUAUCUUACUAACCAGGCCAAAACAGUAUAAGGGCCUUUACUAAAAGUUGUAGUACAGUUUGUAUGCUACAAACUUUGUUAAAGUGCCCAAGUCUAAAUCAUCUUAUAAGCAUGUCAAAUAAUGAUCACAAGAUUGAAUCUUCUAUAAUUUCCAGCACUUCGAAUCUCUAAGCCUGGAAUUGCAGUUCAUCACGUUGUCAUUCCACGUUCUCCAAAUUUUACCAAAAGAUUACACUAGUUUGACUUCGUUUUGGUCAUCAAUUUUGAGUUUUGCUAAUGAUUAUCAAUUCAUUGACACUCAUAGAUUGGCAUCAAAUUAUCUACUAAUCUAUAAAUCUAAUGGCUAUGCACCUUAAACAAGAAAUGUAGAGUAGGUCGAAUUCAGGAAACUUCAUAUUCGGCCCAUGUCCAAAUUCGACCUGGAAGCGGCCCAAAUUUGUCACCCAUGCUGACCACAUCGUUGCCCGACACAUGCUCGGUGGAAUGCCUCAAUGGCAGGACGCGUGGAGAGCGCGUGGCGACCAUGCACAGCGCCCCCACCUCCAUUGCUACCACCUCCACCUUGCUUUUCCCCGUCUGUGCCAGUGUGGAGAAGCACCAGAGCGUCCCCAACGUCCUUCACUCGCCUCACCCGCCCCCUUGCCUCUCUCCUUGCUUUUUGCUCGCCAUGGCAGUCCACCGCCAUGGACGGACGAGCAGCUCGAGCUGCUGCUGUGCCACUGCUGCCUGCAGCCUGGGCUAAGCUAGUGCCCGACAUCGUGGUCUGCAGUUCCCGGGCUCCGACACUCUUCCUCCAUGGUCGCAAGUGCCCAUGGCCGGCCUGCUCCGUCUCCGUUCGUUAGUGUGAUGGAAGGAGAAGGACCUCGGGUUAGAAUAUGAAAUAACUCAGGGUUCCAGAUGCGAAACCAAGAGUUUGUGGGCUGUGGCGUGAUUCCUGAAAACUCUAGGGUUCCCGGUGCAAGAUCGGUUUUCCUUUUCUUUUGUUUUAGCAGAUUUCUGGGUGAACUUUGAGAAUGCAUAGUAAUUCAAAGAAAAAUCAUAAAAUAGGAAAUGUGGACUUUUUGGAAUCCUUGUGAAAUUCUCUAUGCAGUAGAUCUAUAUUAUUGCAUGUUUUAGUUUGAAGUUUUACCCGCAAAAAUAAAUUUAUGCAGUUCAGUUUUAAUUGCUUGUUGUAAUUGUCUUUUUCAUAACCACUGUACUAUUGCUCAAAUAAAUGUGAAAAAUAUUGUGACAAGAUUUUCAUAUGAGGUUUGAUGUCUGGUAAAAUUUGCAUGAAUUUAGUGCUGACAGAUUAAGAGUUAUAAAUAUACCAAAUGCCCUGUGUUGCUUUGCUCCUAUUCUGAGUAGGUUUGCAUGUUUAUAUUGUUUGGCUCAGUUAGGAUGGGAAUCAUGCCUGGAUGAAAAUAUAUGAGUUGUAGUAAUUUUCAUGAGCUAUUCAUCAAGAUAAAUAGCAGAAAUUGUGGUUAACCAUAUGUUUAGUUAUAGUAGUUUAAAUUACUGUUUCAGUUUCUGUCUAAACCCAGACAGGGAUGCAUUGUUUGUUAUGUAAGACCUUGUUAGUUGUAGAUUUAGCUCUAGAUGUUUAUAAUAAAGUUGUUCACAAUUUAGUAAGAUUUCUAUAAAGUACAUAACCAUGAUUUAUGGGCCUAUGAAACUCAAGUUAUGACUGUUUAAUAUGGCAUGAUAGAUUCUGCCCAUGUUUUGAACAGAGAUGUCUUCAUGGGGCUUGUUAAAUGGUUUAUAAUUGUAAAUAAAAAUGUGAAAAUGGAAAAUAUUGGUCCAGUACAAUGAUAUGGUAUUGUUGUAUCAUGUUGACAUAUAAUAUGGUCAUGUGUUUGAAGAAAAUAUGAUUUGUGCAUUUAUCUUGCUCUCACAUAGUUAAUUGCAAUAGCAAUUUGUCGUUUUCAUAGAUAUUGCUAUGUUUAUCCAAAUGUAAUGAAAUUUGUACAGUAGACUAUGGAUAGUAUGUAGAAGCUACUGUCGAUUUUACUGAGCACUUUUGGUAUAUGUUAUUUAAUUCACCUUAUUAUCCAAAUAAACUAAGAAAUGCAUUAAAUAAAUUUAUUUGAUAAUGACCACUAUGUUUUCUGGUGUUCUUUAGAUAUAUGCAAACUGUUGGUAACAAUGGUUUUGCUCAAAUGCAUGUUUGAAACAUAAGUUAAUAAUUAAUUGUUUGCAAUUGUUGUUCCUAGACAGUUUCUGGAACUGUUUGGAUUACAAUAUGUAAAUGAUGUUUUAUGGGAAUCUUAUUUAUAGCAAAGUUGUAGAUAAUUUAUUUAUCUAGCUGCUGUUAAAAUUUGGUAGUAUUUGGCCUUGUGGUUUGUGAGUUAUAUCUGUUCAAAGUUCGAUUCCAGAAAUGGCUGCUCUCUGUUUGUCAGGGACAGAUUCUGGAACUUUAUAAUUUCGACAAGCUUAAGUUGAGAAUCAAGCUUUGAUGUCUGAAUAUAAAAUGUAGCUAAUUUCUUAAGAUUUUCAGAAAAUCUUAAUUCAUAUCCUUUGGAGUUGUGUAACUCUAGUUAUGAUUUAUUUUCUCAUCUACUGUUAACAGUCCUAAAAAUGACAGAUUCCUUGUAUUGCUGUUGCUUGGUAUAUUGCUAAGUAUGACUCAUGUCGUAGAUAACGGCCAACUUAAUACACCUGAGAUAUUGUGAAACAUGUAUGCCAUGCCUGAUAUACUUGGUUGCAUUCUUUUCUAUCUUAGUAUGUUGGUUGUGUUAUGUUACUUAAGCAACAUGAAACACAUAUGUAUGUGUAGAGUAACAUGAUACUUGUCUUGCUUACUACAUAUCAUGCUUUGUCUGUUGCACUUCUAUGUGUUCAUACACUUGCAUCUUGCAUCUUAUUUAGGUACGCUAGGUAAACCAUGUGAAGGACGUGAUGGUGGACCUAUUGGGAUGAUGGAAGAACUACACAAGUGUUGUGAACUUAGAUGUCGUCAAGACUGUGCAAGCUAACUUAAUUGACUUGUGUCGGAUUCCAGGCAAGCCCCAGAGCAUUCUAAGUCUCCUACCCUCUCUUUUUACAAAAGUACAAGAGUAUAACUUUAUAUGAUGCAUUAGGUUGUAGGAGUUGAAUGAAACCGUUGGUGCAUAUAUUCCUUCCUUGUCCACUAUAUGAAACUACCUGAACCCUUACUAGUAUAAGAAAGACGUUCUAUGCUUAACUAUGCUUAGCUCGGUAGAAGCCAGGUGAUUUCCUAUCACCUGCGAGAGAUAGGUGUAUACCUGAUCACGGUUGACUAUAUUUGCUAUCGUAGAAAUAACCAUGUGCUAAUAAUAAAGUGAGACCGGGCGGGAUGAUGAUUGUGAAGAAACUAGGCAUGCAGGUCUUGGUGUGAAUCUACCCCGUCUGUGUCGUUUCAGGACCGAUACGCUGUACGUCCUCGUGUCAUGUUGAACGCAUGCCUACCACUUAGUUGGCCGGAUAAGUCGUUCCGACCAUGAAGCCUACGAGUGCAACUCCGGACGGAUACCCCGAUCUGGUUAAAGUGCGCACCCCGGUUGGUAGCAAGGAUGUGCGGGGAGUCAAUGGCAUAAGACCAUGUUAUCAGGUUAGAGUCCUACCCUGGCAGAUUGGCGGUCCCUGGGGGUGCGGCGCCGUACGGACCCACGACUUGGUCCGGAGUUGUGCUAAAGGUGAUCCAAGCUGCCCUCGCGAGGUAUGCUUGGCUGAGUGCUAGGAAUUCCCCUCCAGCUGGAUAGGAAUCGAUUCGAAUAGCCAUCUCUCCCGGAUAGUGAGAACUUGACUCGAGCAGCGACAACGUAGAAUUCACUAAAUAAACUUAAUGGUUAUGAUGAUGAUGAUGAUGGCUACAUGAUAAACCGGAUAUGGUUAUUAAUGUGAUGAUUAUUAAUCAAGUGGUUGCUAUAGAAUAGGUGCAAAAUCUGGCUGUGGUAGCUUAAUUGAACUUGAUGCUAAAAUAUUGACUAAAAGGUUGAAAGUAAGGACUCAUAAUAGUAAUGCUCUUUUUGGCAAAGUUAUGCUAUCCAACCAACUCCACCAAAUAGCCUUGCAUACCCUUGAGAGUCUUUUAUUUUUCUCUAAGUCUAGCUGAGUACAUUCGAGUACUCAGGGUUUAUCCCACCAUGUUGAAGGUGAAGUCUUCAGCCUGCUAAAGAUGGUGGCUAACCACCGGUGGGCUCGGUGAUUCUAUAUAGUAUUCUCAUCUACAUGCUUUUGUCGGAGGAUGUCACUUAUGCUAGCAAUGUAUUUGGAACUUAUGUUAUUGUAAUCAUUUGAAAGCUAUGUUGUUUUCUAAUCAAUUUGGAAAAUCCAAACUUGUACUAUUAUUUGUGAACUCUUUUGUAAUAUUAUUUUCGCUGCAAAUCUCCGUGUAUGUGAUGUGUAUUUGCUUAAUCAUGCGAUCUUGGUGGUGAAAAGGUGAUUUACCGAGGUCUUUUGUGACACUCGGCAGACUACCGGGUUUAUAUUAGUGAUAGUAUGCGCGUGUCAACGUGUUAAGCGGGGACAGUCAUACUUAAACUUGUAUAAAUUGGGCGGUUCUGUCACAGCUGGCAUCGGAGCAAGAUUAAGUAUAAUACUAUCAGGUAAUUAAACUGAUACUAACUAUGGUGGGUUUACUUUAUUGCAACUUUUACUUUCGUCAUCCAUACGGUGUGCAAUAGUAUGGAUGCCACUUACUUAAGUGGUAAUGAAUAGAUCAUAUACCUCUACGUCACGGUAAGCAAUAUUUUCCUUUCGUCGUCCAUACGGCGUGAAAUGUAUGGAUGCCACUUGCUUGAGUGGUAAUGUAUGGAUCUACAUGCCUCGACGCCCAAGGUAAGAAGGUGAGUUGUGAGAGCAUGACCGUCCAACUGUCGGUCUAGGGGAGAGUUAGAUGUGGUUACUAGAAUAUUUACAUGUUACAUGUAACACCCCAGUGUUAUGGUUGCAUUAAUCUUGUGCAUAGCAUAAGCAUCAUCAUCUACUCAAAGCAUAUCAUGAUCAUCAUCUAUCUUGAGCCAUGUUAUUCUAUGCAUAAAUGUGUUUUAAAUUGCUUAAAUAGGCUUCCUAUGCUUAUGUUUGAGUGGACCAUGCUUGUGUUUGUGCUUAAUGCCUUAGUAAUUAGUUUAUCUAUGCUUAACUUGACUUUGGGAACAAUGUUCAUGUUGGUCACUUCUCCAAAAUAUGCUUUUAAGUCAUACUUAUGAAAAUAGGCCCUAGAGACCUCUUUUGCUUAGGCUUUUAAAAAGUGUUUCAUAAAAUGUUUGCAUGUCAAAACUUUCUACAGCAAAGUUGUAGUAAAUUUUAUAAGGAACAAAAGUUGUUUUGUGGCCAUCUCAUGAAAAUGAUCACAAAUAGCUCAAAAGUGGCCCACAAAGAAGAUUUGGGGCUGUUUCCAACACUUAGAAAAUUUUCUAAGUCUGGAAUCUCUGCAGUUUGCUUGAGGGGGUAUUGUUCAUCUUCCAGUUUGAAUUCUGGGCCGAAUCAAGCUUUGAUUUAGUAAGCAAUGUUGGAGUACUCAUGUAGCUCUCCAGCAUGGAGCAAUUAGCCAGCAAAAUCAUCGAGUGGUUUAGGAGAUAAUCAUCAUGCAAAAUCGAGUUUCAGUCGGUGAUCGCGAGGUCUGAUGCAGAGCUGAGCUCGCCGUCGUGGACGCCCAGCGCGACAUCUGUCCGCCAGAUGGCGCCCGUACGCCGGCGACGGCCCCGCUCGUCAGGUCGUCGACGUUGGCAUGGACGCCGUCCAUUCUCCUACUCAUCUCUCUCGCGCUCGCUCUGGCGGAAAACGCCGUCGCCAUUGCCGCCGAGAGCUUCGCCAGCUCUUCACGCCCUCGCCUCUGUGUCUCGGUUCGCCUCUGAGUGCCUCCAAGUCCGCCUCGAGCUCCUCCAUCUUCUCCACCCUUUGGUUGGGCGAGAUCUCCCCGAGGUGAGCGGCAUUUCGCAAGUUCUCCGUCGUCAAUCCUCGAGGACACCGAUUCCGGCGAACCUCACCGCUGCUCCACCCUCGCUUCCUUUCUUCUCUUUGGAUAGCGUUAGGUUCUAUUUAGCUCUCGGCGUCGGUCCACACCACGCCAUUACGGCUAAAACCUCACCGUCGCGCGGGAACAUGGCCGCCGCACCGCCGUGCUCACCGCCGACGAGCACCUCGCAUGUGAGCAGACUCGCCGGAGCCGUUAGGGUUAGGCGUUUCUACCUAGGAAGCUCCGCACUGACUCCCUGAUGCUUAAGCCGCCUUCCUCCGAUGCUCUACCGGUCGGAGAUGGCCGGCGUAAGCCGGAGUAGCUCCGCCGUGCCGCCAUGGCCGACGGCGACCCCUCUCCGUUGCCGAAACCCUAGCGCCACCUACCUCCUUCGACGCGGAAUCUUCCCAAGAGCACGUUGGUGCCCUUGGAUCCGCCGGAGAAGCUCACCGUCGGCGAGCAUUUGCCGGCGAAGGGGGUCCUCUGUUCUCGGUGACGCUGACACGCGGGUCCCGCAUGCCAGUGACUCAACGGUCACCCCCUUCCUUUUAUUCAAAUCUGGAUUUUUGGCUGGUUUGCAAAAAUCAUAUCUCCUGUUUCUAAGAUCCAAAAAUGGUGAAACCAAUUUUGUGGUAUUCCUUGAGAUGGCUAGUUUUUAAUAAAAAUAUAAAAUGGACCAUGUCUUCUGGGAAAAUAUUUAUUAAGUAUUUAAUCUUGUUAUUCAUGGAUAAAUUCAUAUCUCUGGUUAUACUUCUUAGUUUGCCAUGAAAAUUUUAUGGUGGUCUCUGUAUGGUUUUAGAGUGCUGUGGUAAAUAUUUCAUGAUUUUUGGUGUACUGCAGCUUUGAUAUGCAAUUUAUGAUUGAAAUGUGGCUUGUUUCUUUAAUUAAAUCAUAUAAAAUAAUUGGUACUUAUGCUGGUGCUCUACUUUGGUAGUAAACAUGUUCAUGGUAUUUCUCAUAUAUAAAUAAUCUGAAAUCUGUUGUUUGGUACCAUAUAAGUCAUGUUUCUGAAUUUAUGAAAUAAACACUUUGAUACAUGUUAAAUACAUAUCUUUAAUUUGGUAUGUGCUAUUGCUGUGAAAUUUUUAUGGUGAUGCUUUGAUGCUUUACUUGUGUUCCUGUAAUUUUUGUAGAUUUUUCUGAGUACUUUGGCUAGUAGCUUGUGAUUAUGCUCUUAUCUAGAAUUAAUUAAUAAAUGCCUUGUUAAGUAAAUGUUUGGGGGUUGUCAUCUGAUGUUCUGGCAACCUUGUAAUAUACUUGUGCUCAUAAGCCAUGUGGUUGGCAUGAUUUAUGUUUUGGUCAUGUCAUUAAAUAAUUAAUUAUAGGGUUAAAAGCUGUUCUGGACAGCAAGGGAGCAAUUUAACUUUUGCUUAAUGAUAAUUUGGUUUUCUGGGCAACUUGUCUAAAUCAAAGUUGAAGUAAACUUAUUCAACUAGCUGUGGUUAAAAUUUGGAAUAAAUUGGUCCAGUAGUUUAAAAUUUAUGGCUGUUCCAAGUUAGGUUCCAGAAAUAGGUGCUCUCUGUUUUUCUGGGACAGAACCUGGAACCUUGUUUAAAUGACUGGUUUAAUAUAUGAAUCAUGCUGUGAUGUUUAAAGAUGAUUUGUAGACAAUUUCAUAUGCUUUCCAGAAUGUCUUUACUUAUGAUUUUUGGAUCUGUCUAUCAUCAGUUAUGAUUUAUUUAUCAGGUUACUCCUGUUCUGUGUUGCUUGCUGAUUUAGUAUCAUGAUAGGAUUUGGGCUAAGUUAACUUAUUAACUUGUGUGAGCUUGUUAUAACUUUUGCCCCAUAAAUGAGCGUCCAGUGAGUUACUUAUGUUAUCAAGCAUUCAUCUUUAGCAUGUGCACCUUCUUAUUGUUCGAGCAUGCAAUAGGUGCAUUGGACGCGACAGCCUCCUACGAGCUGCAGGCGAAUCCCGAAGGUCAGGAGGGCAGCCAGGAGGUGGAGGUCCAGCAAGUCGGACUCGAGAAGCCCGAAGAAGAAGUUGAGUGCCCAAAUCACGAGCCGGCGUCGUUCGUGAAAGGCAAGCCCCGGAGCAUUCUAAGUCUCCCUUUAUUUUCGAAAGUUUACUUAAUAUGUUAUACCUAUUGAUGCAUUACGUGUAGGAGUUGUGAUGAAACUUUUGCUGCAUCUUACUCUAUCCUUGUCCAGUUAAUUCAUCCUACCCUGGUUAUAGAGUUAGGAUCGAGUAGCAGCUUAGCCAUGCUUAAACGGUAGAAGUUGGGUGAUUUCCUGUCACCUGCGCGAUAUAGGGUUAUGUCGGAUCACGAUGGUCUAUAUGUGCUAUCGUGGAUGGAACCGGAUUAAUUUGACCUAAGCCGGGCGGAGUUUUGCAAGUUUGUAGUAACUCCGUCUGUGGCAGCUAAGGACCGAUCGUUGUACGUCCUCUUGUCAUGUUGAACGCAUGCCUAACACUUAGUUGGCCGGAUAACUCGUUCCGACCGCGAAGCCGAGUAGUAUGACUCAGGCUGGAAGACCGGCAAGUAUAAAGUGCGCACUACCGGAGGAAGUGCGGUGUGCGGGGGACCAUUGGCGUAAGUCCAAAGGCAGGUGAGUUAAAAUUCCUGACCUCCCUGGCAGAGUGGUAGCCCUGGGAGUGCGGCGCUGAUCGGAGCCGCGAUUCCUGAGUUGUACCAAAGGUGACCCGUUGGCUCUCCGGCAGGGGAUGCUUGGGUGAGUGCUAGGAAUAACCCUCCAGCUGGAUAGAAAUUCGAUUCGAAUCGCCGUCUCUCCCGGUUAGUGAGAACUUGACAGAGCAGCGGCAAACGUAGCAUCCACUAAUGAACUUGGUUCAUGAAAAUGAUGAUAGCAAGAAGAACGUAUGAUGAAUUUGAUAUGGUUAUUAUUGUUUGCAAUAAUCAAGUGAUGUGUUGUAGUACAGGUGCUAAUCUAGUUGUAGGCUGAUGAUAAAUAAAUAUGAUGCUCUCAAAUAACUUAGUCGUAUGUUAAGCUUUUGGCAAAAGGUGAGUCAACCAGCUUCACUUGAUAUUUAGCCUUGCAUGAUCCUUGGUGUCUUUUAUGUUUUACUAGACGGAUAAGUCUAGCUGAGUACAUUCUCGUACUCAGGGUUUAUUCCCACCUGUUGCAGAUGACAUCUUCUAUGACGGUUUCUGCAAGACCUGUCUCCAUCCCGCUGGGGAUGAGGACUAACCGUUGGGCACGGUUCUCUAACAACUUCGUACCUGUUGCUUUUGGAAGGAUGGUGUAGACUCUGGCAGUAACUCGAACUUAUGAACUGAACUUUGGAAUGUGUGUGUAACUAUUUUGCUUCCGCUACUUCGAACAAGUGUUGUAAUAACUUAAUACUCCGAUGUGGUGCCGCUUCGACGACAAUGAAUGACUAUGUAACAAUCGUUGUGUUUAUGUUGAACUAUUACGAUCUUGGUUUGUUGCGAGUUGGUUUGAAGUCCUUCGUGAUUUCCAUUGACUACCGGAAUUAUAUGGGCUCAAGUUUGGAAACUUGAUUGCUGGUCGAUCAUUUCUGCACUUGAACUCUUAUAAUUUGGUCGGUUCUGUGACAUUACGCACAUGUUUAUAUGAAGGUACAUAAUUGUGGGUUUGUUGGUAUGACCGUGUAUACAUGUCUCUGUGUAUACAUGGGUGUGCUCCACAUGGGUAGUAUGCUACAAUAUAUAUUCGGGAAUAUAUAUUGGAGUAUUUAGCUCUCAACCUGAAGACCAGACUUUCAUUUCUGCACAUAUAUUAUUGUUGGGUUGGGCUGAAAUGAAAUUAUUCUGUAGGUACACUAACCCCGAAUGUAUAGAUUGAACAUAGUUGACGACUAGCUAUAUGUCGAGAGAGUAUGUGUUAUGCCACCGACAUAGAACGUGAUUGUCACUAUAGGCUGGCAAUUUUGUGAGGACGAAUAAGACGAAGCAUGCAUCCUUAUGAUUGUUGCAUUAUGUAUGACAAUGCUUCUCCCACCUUGUUCCAAUAAUUUGUAACUUGUGAGUGAUGUGAUGCUACUCUUUUCGUUGCGUGAAGCUAUACAAAAGUUGCGAUAUUCCAUGCUACUUGAAUAGUUUUGCUUGAAAGUAGUGUGUGAUGUGUCUAACCUUGAAAUGUUUGCUGCUAUAAGAAUCUACAAUCCUUUGAAAGCUGAAGCUUGUCGGUGAAUAUGUAUGUGAAUGUUUUCCAAUGAAUCCUCUAUUGUUAAUUAAAUAAGUAAAAGUAUGGCCUAGAAAUAGUUAAGGCUAUAUGCUUGAACUUGUAGGUGUCCGCUUGUUUAGCCAAAAGGCGAAUACGUUGCUCCCGCAAGCAUUUGCAAAUACUUUAACCUCACUUAAGCAAUUAUGAUUCUUAUGUUAAUCCCUCCUUGUCACCAAACUAAAAUUAUUAUUUGUCAAGAUAAUAAUGUUUGUAGCUACUAGAGUUAUACAUGUGUGUGCUCUCUUGUUAAUAGAACAAGGGAAAACAUUACUUGAUAUGUGUGUUGAAUUUUGGCUGCUAGAGCAGUAUGUAUUCUAGUGGUGUUUUCAUGACAAUAAUUGUGUUUUCUGUAAUUAUAGUGAAUACCAAAGUUGUAGCCAACUUCAAUAUCUAGUCUAUCCUAAAAUUUCAUGACCAUAGGCCUGAUGGUUUAGGAGUUAUGAACUUUUGAAGUUUGUUGUCAGAUCCUGAUCAUGUUCUGAACAGAUAUGAAUGUUUAAUUUGUUUGACUAGUGUGCAUAAAGAAUCAUGUCUUGGAGUUAAUAGAAUAAGUGUAGUACUUUUGUUAAGGUUUCUAAAAUAUCUUAGAUCACAACUUUUGGUGGUCUAAAUCUUAUGUUAUGAGCCUAUGAAGUAGAACGACAGAAUCUGUCAAAAAUCUGAAUAGAUAUGUAUUCUUUGUAUUGUAUGUGCUUGUUAGCUGUAGAAGCACCUUAAGAUGAUAAUAAGAAAAUUAUAGAUAAAUCGAUAAGUUUUCCAUAACAUUAACGAUCAUGUUUGUUCGAUCAACGGAACUUUAGUUAUCAUUUUCUAAAAUUCAUAUCAAGUUCUCUAUCCUAGUUUAGGCAGAGCUGAUUGCUAUUCUUUUUCAACCUUGGUAGGUUUGAUAAUCUUUCUCUGCUGAGUUUUCCUAAAUGCUAAACUCUUGCUUGUGGUAUGUCCAUUUGCAUGACAGUGCAGCCAUGCCAAAAAUCUUUUGGAGCCCUUUUUACUAUCUAUCUCAAAACAUAUUCUCCCUAAAAGACUGAGCCGUGUCCACUUACUUUGUAGAACACCUUGUAUCAUAAUCCUUGUAUGUGGGACAAAUGUGUUGUAUUGCUGUAGAUAAAUGCUUGUUAUAUGUAAGCCUUGUGCUUAGUAAUGGUUGUUUAAGCGUGAUUGUUUGACUUUCUCAAGUACUUGCUUAAAACUGUUAUGUUGUGUGGAUGUUAGUUAUCUAGAUUGUGUGUUGGUUGUAUCAAAUUAGGUUCCCUUUCUUAGCAGCCGAGCUUAUAGACUUGACUGAUAGUUUUUGAAUGUUAGAGCAUCCAUGCCUAUGCUUGAUAGUAAACCAAAGUCCAAACCCUUAAAUACUUGUAUAUACCAUGGUUGUCCUACACCUGUUUGCAAAUAUCCUUGUUGAGCCAACUAGCCUAGGAUAAGGUAUCGCUACAAAAAGCUUUUGACUAUAGUUGUUCUUUGCUAGUUAUGGAGACCAUACCAAAUCCAUGUUGGACCUCCUGAUUGCAUCUCCCAAACUUAGCUUGUGUAAGGCAAUCUUUUGCUGCCUAAUCUUGGAACUCUUUUGCUUUACAAAUCAUGUAACUCCCUAUCAUCUAGAUCUCUAAUCGGGUUGCGUUUUUACCUUUGGAGUUUUCUUUAGUCAUCUCUAGCCUCCCCAAGUCUUGGGAUGCUUAUUGGUUUUGAUCUUAUGUUUCUACCCAGCAUGACCACAUCUCAUAGAUUAAUUGUUGGGCAAUGGCCUUGAUGGGCAUAAGGCAUAUCCAUUUCUGUCUUGUGCUGUGUUCUCAUCCUUUAACCUUCUAGUUGUUACCUCCAUAUCUUGCUGUCAUCUUUGCUUGCUUAAUUUUGUCUUGCACAUGAUCCUUGUACAUGCAAGACUUACCUAUGUCAUGAGAGAUUUCACGUUGGUUGUAAGAUCGGUAAUAGCGUCGUGAUUAAUGACUAACGGUGCUGCGACGAAACCGAGAGCCUUUUGUAGGUGCACACACAAGACUGUGUUGCGCAGCACGCGCUGGUAUCGUGGUUGCUAGUCAUGGUCUAUUACAAAACUACACUGAUGUGUCAUCUCAUCAUGAGUUUUUCCUUGGUUAUCAUUCCUUAUGUCCAAUCAGAAGAUCUGUAUUAGACUUAUGUAAUAAGACUUCCUUCUGAAGUUGCUAAGAAGAUAACAUUUGAAGAAUAGGUUACCGACAUAAACCUUAGCAGACUGCAAGGGGUGGUAGACAAGAGACUCUAUUUGUUACCCAUGUAACAAUAUCAGUCGUUUAGUGAGUAACUUGUGUCAUCCACUAUUGAAUCCAAAGGGCACACAACGCUUAAAGUUGGACAAGUUAUCAGUCAGACAAGAAUUGAUCCAAAUUUUGAUCAUGGUGAUCACACAGUCAUAAUCAACAUCUCUAUUGUGAUCUCCUUUUUGGCUAACAUUGAUCUUGAUUGCCUACAAAUGCAUCAACUACAAUUGUUGCCACCAAAGAAGAAAGUUUUGUAACUUUUUAGUGUUGAGGGACAACUAGUUAGUUACCAAUAAGAAAGUUAAUCUCCAGCUUGAUAAUGACUCUUUAGUAGCUAUAACAUCUAUGUCUCAUACACCGCUGUUCAGCAAAGAAGAUAACAAGUCGAUCAAUGAAGUAAAUAUGGCUUCCUUCCCCAAACCUGAUGUUGUCAAGUCAAUUCCCUAUUGGACAGUCACACCUAUAGUACUAGAUGCUAUAUCUGGGUCACAAGCUAGAGAAAAGCAGUUAGCAUAAUCAUGCGUGUGGUGUUAUCAAAGGUUUUGUUUUGUUUGGUUAGCCAUAUGGUGUUUGUUUGUGCUGAAUUUUGGUUAAUCAUGAGAAGACUCUUGGAUCUAUAUACACACUAACCAUUCAUGCAUAAUGAAGUUUGCGCGAUGUGAACUGAACCAAGACGAACCUUACGAUGACCUAUAAAGACUCCUUUCACCCUUGGACACCUAGCUAUUACCCUAUCACAUCAACCGAUAGUUGAGCAAUCUAGGCGUUCUACAAGUCAAAAAUAACUGGAAAGGUGUUAAACAACAAAUCUCGGAUUUAUUAUAUUAGAGCUGUUGUUUUAUCCUAGUAAGGAAUCCUCAAUCUCAUAGUAGUCUCACCAAGCUAUUAUGCUACAAUGCAAGUCGACCCAGAACCUACUAAGCCGUUGCUUAAUGAGGGAAAAUUUUAGUUGACUUGCUUGGUAGUAGCUUGUUUCUCUAGUUGGGUGAAUACUUGAAUCUUUUGUUGUCCUCUAUACCUUGCUAUCAUCCGUCCUUAGCAAUGCUUAUCUAAUGCUAACAUGCCUUCAGCAUUUUCUAUGUUCCUUUUUACCCAAGAGGUUGUAUCUGAUAUGACCUAGAUCACUGUUAACACUUGGAGCUAUGAAAUUCCUUGAAUGGUCAGCACUAACUUGAUAGUCUUAGAAAAUAAAGUGUUGAUAUCACUAGAAGAGAACUGCACACAUGGAACCUUAUGUAGAUUUCCAUCGGUCAUCUGAGUGAUCAGACCUUAUGACUAGAAUAGACAUUGUUUGUUGGUUAGUUGGUUUCUCAUCGCCUCAAAGGAUGUUUAUCAAGUUCAUGAUAUCAUAAAGUAUCAGAAAGUGCCUUGACCAAAUCAGCCUCUCCGAAUCUUGGAGAUAAGUAAUUGACUGCUAUCGCCAAUGUUGGAAGUGAAUAACAUGCUUCUCUACCCUUGGAAGUCUUUCGCCCUAAAUCUCAGGACGAGAUUCUUUUAAGGGGGGAGGGUUGUAACACCCUAGGUGUUUGCCACGAGUUAGACUUUCGGGUUUGAGCUCAAACGUGCCAAGAUAAGUGGUGAUGAUCAUGUUAAGGUCAAUCCAUGAAAGUGAGCCUCAAGUUAAACUUGGAUAAUGCACCCUUGCUUACAUAUAGCCUAUUUUGAAAAUUCAUGCUUGGGUGACAUUAAUGGAACCUCUUUCAUAUGUCCUACAUCCAUCAAUACCUAUAGUGAUCACUCAAAAUGUUUCAUGAAGUUUGGAAUCAAAAGGUCACAUGAAACGAUAAGUUACGUGCUUGUUGGAAUGACCUCAUUAAGUGAAUAGAACCAUGGGUAUUCAACCAAUCCUUGCAACCUAGCCCAAAUGACUCUAGAUGAACUCUACAACAAAAGUCAUGAAGGGUUCAUGUUGAGCUUGUGCCUAGAAAAUGCUUCAAUUGGCCUCAAACCUUAAUUCAAGCUUUAUCAAAUUGCUACUUUGACCAAAGUGAAAGUUUGACUUCUAUACAUGUUCUGAGGGUUGCCAUAAAUAAAAGUUGUAGUUUAGCUUCUGUAGAACAAACUUUGUUUAAUGGUCAAGAACUAGUUUGGUCCCUAACCUAGUCCAAUUGAGCUUAAAAGAUUCGAUGUAGUGUUGUUUUGCCACCUUCAGAAAUUGGCCAUAUCGACGGGGCGGUGGAAACCACCGACGAGACACAAGACGCUGUUGCUGGUGGUCAAGCCCCUAUGGCAAGGGAAGACCCCAGGACACCUAGGAACAACGGUCAAGUCGACCCCCCUCCACAAGAAUACAGAGCCGCGCAAAUUGCGCAGCUACGCGAGCUCAAAGCAAAGCUCAACGAGGAUCGCGAGCGCCUUGUUUUGCUUGAACAGAUCCUCGAGCAGGACUUGCCUUACCCACCUGGCGGAAGUGUCCGCAGACGGGCUCGAGAGGUACAUCGGCAGAUCAUUGGAGACGGAGAGCCUGAGCAGCCCAUCAGCCGUUUCCCUCGAGCGGGCCAGAACGUCGUGGCAGCGACAAUGCUGCUGCGCAAUAUGCCCGAACCGUCGAACUCCCAAGCACGACGUAAUCGAGACGAGGUGCAGACUCUGCUCCAGGUGGUGGCAGUUCAGCAGGCUGAGAGCUCGGCCUCUCGACGUCGAGGAGUGGCCACAGAAAAGCGUGAUGAGCCGGCCCAGAACGAAAAGGAGGUGUCGGUCCAUCAGCAGCCGCCCCCUCGAGGGAAAAAGACAACCCUCAUCCUCCCCAUCGACAACCAACGACGACACAACGCACGACGCGACAUCGACGAGAACCGUCGCCGCCAGUAUGGGGACGCAGAAGAGCGCGGCUACAGCGCCCACCAUGGCGGGAGAUACGACAGCGACGAGGACCGGAUGGCCUCGGAACCACCGAGCACUCGGGUGUUCACCAGGGCAAUCCGCAGCACGCCACUGCCCAGCCCGUUCUGACCCCCGACCAGCAUUGCUAAAUACAACGGCGAAACCAAGCCAAAACUGUGGCUGGCAGACUUCAGGCUAGCCUGUCAGCUGGGAGGCACUCGAGGGGACGAUCGAGCCAUCAUCCGACAGUUACCACUCUUCCUCUCCGACACCGCCCGCAGAUGGCUCGAGGAGCUCCCGGCCAACCAGAUUCACGACUGGGUCGAUUUGGUCAGGGUGUUCGAGGGUAACUUCAAAGGGACCUACAUACGGCCUGGCAACUCGUGGGACCUCAGCAAAUGCAAGCAGAAGUCAGGAGAAACUCUCCGGGAGUAUGCUCGACGCUUCUCGAAGCAACGCACUGAGCUGCCACACAUCCCCGACCACGACGUCAUCAUGGCCUUUGUCUCUGGCACCACUAGUCGAGACUUGGUGCGGGAAUUAGGCCGGAAUCGCCCUCAAACUAUUGACGAGCUGAUGGACGUAGUGGCAAACUACGUUGCAGGGGAAGAAGCGGUUGGCGCCUUCUUUAGCUGUGAAGGAAGGAAAGGCAAGCCGUCAGCCGAUGAGGAUGAGGGCCCUAGUCGAGGGCCCAAGAAGAAAAGAAGAAGAAGAAAACACGGCCGUUUCAGCGGGAGGACCUCGACGACGAUCUCGUCGCCACCGUGGAGCGCAAAAGGCCUCGAGGGCCCCCAGAGGGGGCAAUCUUUGACAAAAUGCUAAAAGAGCCCUGCCCCUAUCAUAAGGGAGGGGCAAACCACAAGCUUGAAGACUGCCGUAUGCUGAAGAAGAACUUCGACAGCCUGGGGUUCAAGAAGGACGCCCGUGACGAUCCGAAGAAAGAGAGGAGCGGCGACAAUGGGAAUGACAAAGACUACGAAGGGUUCCCAGCCGUCCACGACUGCUACAUGAUCUACGGUGGACCCUCGACGCAGCUAACCGCGAGGCAGCACAAGAGGGAGCACCGCGAGGUCUUUGCGGCAAGGAUGGGAGUGCCCCAGUACCUCAGCUGGUCAAGCACUCCUAUCACCUUCGAUCGAGACGACCACCUCGACAAAGUAGUCGCCCCUGGCAUCUACCCGCUCGUCGUCGACCCCAUCAUCGUCAACACCAGACUGCUGACGGAUGGCGGCAGCAGCCUGAACAUCAUCUACCUCGAGACCCUCAACCUCCUCGGCAUCAACAGGGCGCAGCUCCAACCAAGCGCUCGCGGUUUCCACGGCGUCGUACCUGGAAAGAAGGCGUUGCCGGUAGGUCGAAUCGACCUGCCGGUCUGCUUUGGCACGGCGGCCAAUUUCAGAAAGGAGACCCUCACUUUUGAGGUAGUGGGACUCAAGGGCAUGUACCACGCCAUCAUCGGGCGCCCGGGCUAUGCCAAGUUUAUGGCUAUCCCCAGCUACACCUACUUGAAGCUGAAGAUGCCCGGGCCCAAGGGCGUCAUCACCGUCAGCUCCUCCUACGAAAACGCGUAUGAGUGUGACGUUGAAUGCGUUGAAUACGCGGAAGCUGUCGAGAACUCCACCGAGCUCACCUCGAAGCUCGAGGCCCUGGCCGCAUAGGCUCCAGAGCCCAAGCGCCACGCGGGCAGCUUCGAGCCGACAGAAGGAACGACGAAGAUCCCGCUCGACCCCAACAACUCUGACAGCAAGGUGCUGACGAUCAGCGCCGACCUCGACCCCAAAUAGGAAGCCAUGCUCGUCGUCUUUCUCCGUGCAAACGCCGACAUGUUUGCAUGGAGUCCCUCGGAUAUGCCAGGCAUACCUAGGGAAGUCGCCGAGCACUCCAUGGAAAUUCGAGCUAGUUCCAAGCCAGUGAAGCAACGGUUGCGCCGCUUCGACGAGGAGAAGCGCAAGAUCAUUGGUGAGGAGAUCCACAAGCUUUGAUGGCCGGAUUCGUCAAGGAGGUUCACCAUCCCGACUGGUUAGCAAACCCUGUACUAGUUAAGAAAAAGAAUGGGAAAAUGAGGAUGUGUGUCGAUUAUACAAGUUUAAAUAAAGCAUGUCAGAAAGUUCCUUUUCCAUUACCACGUAUCGAUCAAAUUGUUGAUUCAACUGCGGGAUGUGAAACCCUUUCUUUCCUUGACGCAUAUUCUGGUUACCAUCAAAUAAAAAUGAAAGAGUCCGACCAGCUCGCAACAUCUUUCGUCACGCCUUUUGGGAUGUAUUGUUAUGUAACCAUGCUGUUCGGGCUUCGAAACGCGGGAGCCACAUACCAGCGCUGCAUGCUCCACGUGUUUGGCAAACACAUAGGGUCGACGGUCGAGGCCUACGUCGACGACAUCGUCAUCAAGUCAAAGCAACGAGGAGACCUGAUUCAGGACCUUGAGAUCGCUUUCAGUUGCUUACGCGCCAACAAGAUUAAGCUUGUUGACGGUUCUUAAGUAUUAAUUUCAAUUAUCAAAUAAACAAGAGAAAGGACCAAUAUGCAAACAACACCUAGAAUUAGGGUUUGAUCUGACAGAAUUCCACGAGUUUUGUUGUUUAUCUGUUUCUGCAGGGGGUUAUCAGGAAAUAAGGAAGAAAGGCCCACAUGUCAGGAUUACAUAGAGAUAUCAACGCACCGCGCGAUUUUCUACCAUCUAGAAGACUCCAGAAGCCAAGGGAAGAAGACGGAGGCCGAAAGGGGACACGCCCAGGGCGCCCGCCCUGGUGACCUGGGCGCCCGCCCCCUGCUGGAUCCUAUUCAGGACUCUCUUCGCACGGGAUAUUCCACCGACCUAUUGGAUGAAGGAAAACAUUGUACCACCUCGCCUACCGACCCAAAAACGCAUAGAGGAGGAGGACUAUAUAAGGAGACCCCCUUGGCCCCUGGAGAAGACAAGAAAUUAUCAUAGAGAUUGAGGGGUGCCCUCGAAGGAAAACCUCUUCUCUAAUUAAUAUUUCUUUUUAGGCUUAGCAACCAAUGUAAAAGUAGAAAUAGAUCUUCUAGUUUCUACUAGAUUGAGAGAGAUAGAGUGGAGGUGUAGAUUGGAGGAAGCCCGGCCUGUUGGUCCAAGCUUGUACCUACGGGAUCAAGUUCUCCUAACCCGAAGCUUGCUCCUAGAAUUCUUCAGUAAUUUGACUUCUAAAUUCUAGUAAGUUCUUGUUUUAUUGUUCUUAUGGUUUAUGAGUUUACUUUAAUCUCUUCGCAUAGAGUUUAGAGUAAUCAUUGCUGGCGUAAACGUGGUGUUUAGGCUGGGGUACUCAUAGAUAUUUCCUGACUAGCUGGACCGUGGUAGUAGUGAGGAACGUGACAUUCCGAGUUACCUUUGCAGACCAUAUCUCGUUAGCAGGAAGGAUAAGGUUUAUAGGUGCGGGUUGAACAUCCUUUGUGGUGUCUAGAUUCUGUUAGCCUCCCCAUUAGAAUUGUAGAUCAUCCUUACCAAGGUUAGAAGGAGACUACGGUUGCAGUCUUCUCUAUUUAUCACUCACAUCGAGAGACAUUCUUUGUGCCUAAAGGGUUAGUAGUAAUAGACCGGUUAGUCAGAUGCACUGUUUCUCCUAGUGGUAAAAAAAUAAAUACGAUACUCUGGAUAAUUUCCCGGGUGAAGUGCUCACCGAUAUCCGUGCGCUUGCGGAUCAAUUCCUUAUUGCGUUCCCAAAUAUCAACAAGCAUUUAUGGCGCCGUUGCCGGAGAGAAAGACGGUUGCUGAGAUAACCUGAGUCUUACUACUAGCUUGUAUCUAUACUUUUAUCUUUUCUUAUCUUUUAUAUUCUUUAUUUAUUUUCUUUAUUCUUACCUUAUGGAAAACCAAAAUUCUAAAUCGAUCCAUGAGUCUGCAAUCCCUUCAGUAACUGACCUUUUACCAUGGGAAUCAUCACAGCCUAUCCAAACAUCCCAGUAUAAGUUAAGUACUAGGUUGAUUGCCAUGAUUCAAAACCUAUCUUUUUUAGGAAAGGAAGACGAAAACCCUUACCUUCAUAUUAGAGAUUUCGAGCAAACAUGUGAUUGUCUUCGUAUUGAAGGCAUUUCAGAUAAAACUUUACGUUGGAAGCUUUUUCCUUUUUCUUUAAGGGGAGAAGCUAGACAAUGGUACAGUCAGAAGGUAAGUCAACAACAAGGUGAAUGGGGAGUUUUACGAGCCAACUUUUGUCUAGAUUUCUAUUCCCUUGACCGUAUAGCCAACCUUAGACUCGAAGUCCUAUCUUUUAAACAAAAAGAUAAUGAAACUUUGGGAAAAUCCUGGAAACGUUUUUCUGAUUUUUAGAAUCUGGUCCAAACCUUAAUCUUGAAGACCCUGUUCUUUUAUUUCACUUUUUUCGAGGUCUUCAGAAAAAUCACAAACAAAUGCUACAUACAAUGUCUAGAGGUUCUUUCUUUCGCAUCCCUACUGCUGAAGCUAGAGUGAUCCUAGAUAGAAUCCUAGAAGCUGAGAUGGAUAAUACCCUUCAUGAUGAAACCUACGAAGCCGAAGUAGACACUCUCCUAAAUUCUUCAUCUACUUUAGCUAUCCCAAGUUCUGAGUCACAAGAGGAAGAAAUUCCACCACCGGACUUCAUGCUGGAUAUAGAAUCCGAUCUUUUUGCGGAUUUUGGAAAUAUUUCAAACUACCAUUCUAUAGACAAACCCCAAAAUGGCUAUAACUACACCAAGUGAACAACAAUUAAGAGAGCUUAUCUCAGUAAUGAGUAGCGAAUGGUUGGAGGAAUCAGAGCUUUCCUCUGAUGUGAUCCGUUUGGACACACCCUCUAUAACUAUACGUUGUGCUUAUAAUUCUGAUCGAUUUAAUGCUCUCUAUAAUCCUGUUGUGGGGAUCAACAUCAUGUCUGAAUCUUUUGCACUUAAACUAUUUAAAAAUCUUGUCUUAACCCCCACAACAAAGGUCAUAAAGGAAUCUUCGGGACGAUUAGUCCCCAGUCUUGGAAUUAUUAAUGUCCUACCUCUUACGGUAGAAGGCUCCAUGGUUCAUUUGAACUUCUAUAUCUUUGAUACAUGGGACUUCGACUUGUUGAUAGGACAACCUUUUAGAAGACUCCUUUAUGAAGGUCAUACUGGAAAGCUACACAUUUCUUUUGGAAAAACUUUUAAAUUCCCAAUAACAAUUUCACACUCCUUGAACAAUAAGGCCAAAUCAUAUCUUUUGCCUGAUCCUAUGGAGGAGGUAAAGGCUGCAUCUCUAGAGCUUUUAGAUGAACUAGACAUAGAAGACGAAAAUCCUUUCUUCACAGAAGAAGAAGCCGAACCUUCUGAGCCUGAACCCUUAGAUGAGUUUGCAGAAGCACCUAGACCCCCCAUAGAGCUUAAAACUUUACCACCCGGUCUUAUCUAUGCUUUCCUAAACAAUAAUCCAGAGUUCCCUGUAAUCAUUAGCGAUAAACUCACUCAGGAUCAAACUCUGCGAUUAAUGACCAUUCUUGAGAAACAUCACUCAGUGUUCGGCUACUCACUCCAAGAUCUUACAGGAAUCAGUCCUAUGAUUUGUACCCAUCGUAUUCCAACAGAUCCUUCUGUUUCACCCUCUCGAGAACCCCUACGUAGACUUAAUAACACUAUGAGAGAGGUAGUUAAAAAGGAAGUUAUAAAGUUGCUGCAUGCAGGGAUUAUAUACACUGUGCCGCACAGUGAGUGGGUAAGCCCAGUACAAGUUGUGCCUAAAAAGGGAGGCAUGACAGUUAUUAUGAAUGAAAAGAACGAGCUAAUUCCGCAACGCACCGUCACAGGAUGGCGGAUGUGCAUAGACUAUAGAAAACUAAACAAAGCCACGAGAAAGGAUCACUUUCCUUUACCUUUCAUAGAUGAGAUGCUAGAGCGAUUAGCGAACCAUUCGUUCUUCUGUUUCUUAGAUGGAUAUUCAGGGUAUCACCAAAUCCCAAUCCAUCCUGAUGAUCAAAGCAAAAACACUUUUACAUGCCCAUAUGGAACUUAUGCUUACUAUAGAAUGUAUUUUGGGUUAUGUAAUGCACCAGCUUCUUUUCAAAUAUGCAUGAUGUCUAUAUUUUCUGAUAUGAUUGAAGAGAUUAUGGAAGUUUUCAUGGAUGAUUUCUCUGUUUAUGGAAAAACUUUUGAUAGUUGUCUUGAAAACUUAGACAAGGUUUUGCAAAGAUGUGAAGAAAAGCACUUAAUCCUUAAUUGGGAAAAAUGUCAUUUCAUGGUUAGGGAAGGAAUAGUGCUGGGACACCUAGUGUCUGAAAGAGGUAUUGAGGUAGACAAGGCUAAAAUUGAAGUAAUUGAACAACUACCUCCACCUGUGAAUAUAAAAGGAAUUCAAAGCUUUCUUGGCCAUGCUGGUUUUUAUCGUAGAUUCAUAAAAGAUUUUUCAUUCAUUGCUAGAUCACUUACUCUUUUGCUAGCCAAGGAUGCUCCUUUCGAAUUUGAUGAUGCAUGUCUAACAUCUUUCAAUAUAUUAAAGAAAGCACUCAUCUCUGCACCAAUCAUUCAACCCCCUGAUUGGUCGUUGCCUUUUGAAAUUAUGUGUGAUGCUAGUGAUUAUGCUGUGGGGGCAGUAUUGGGACAAACUAAAAAUAAGAAGCAUCAUGCAAUUGCUUAUGCCAGUAAAACUUUGACAGGAGCUCAACUUAAUUAUGCAACCACUGAAAAAAAGCUUUUGGCUGUUGUCUUUGCCAUUGAUAAAUUUAGAUCUUAUUUAGUUAGAGCUAAAAUAAUUGUUUACACUGAUCAUGCUGUACUAAAAUAUUUGCUCACUAAAAAAGAUGCUAAACCUCGCCUGAUUAGAUGGAUCUUAUUACUCCAAGAAUUUGACAUAGAAAUAAAAGAUAAAAAGGGAGUAGAAAAUUCUGUUGCUGAUCACUUGUCUAGAAUGUACUUUAAGAGUCCACAGGAAACCCCCAUCAAUGAUUCACUCCGGGACGACAUGCUCUACGGGAUUAACAGGUCUGACCCCUGGUAUGCAGAUAUUGUUAAUUUUAUGGUUUCAGGGUAUGUACCACCAGGAGCAAACAAAAAGAAGCUUAUUCAAGAAAGUCGUUCACAUAUAUGGGAUGAGCCAUACCUCUUCCAAGUAUGCUCUGAUGGCUUACUUAGGAGAUGUGUGACCACUGAGGAAGGAUGGAAGAUCAUCGACAGAUGUCAUUCAUCACCAUAUGGAGGUCACUAUGGAGCAUUCCAUACACAUUCAAAGAUCUGGCAGUGUGGAUUCUACUGGCCUACAAUGUAUGAAGACACGAAGCAAUAUAUCAGAAGAUGUGGUCCAUGUCAAAGGCACGGAAACAUAAAUACAAGGGAUGCAAUGCCACUCACCAACAACCUUCAGAUUGAGCUCUUUGAUGUCUGGGGAAUAGACUACAUGGGUCCAUUUCCCCCAUCAAAGAAGUGUGAAUACAUCUUGGUGGCAGUUGACUAUGUCUCUAAGUGGGUAGAAGCAUUACCUUGCAAGCAUGCCGACAACGUCAGUUCAAAGAGGAUGUUUGAAGAAAUUAUAUUUCCAAAAUUUGGAGUCCCCAGAGUAGUGAUAAGUGAUGGAGGAGCACACUUCAUCGACAAACGCUUCAAGCAAUAUCUAUCAAAACAUGGAAUCCGUCACAACGUCGCUACCCCCUAUCAUCCUCAGACAAGUGGCCAAGCAGAGACUUCCAACAAACAAAUCAAGAAUAUUCUUCAGAAGACAGUAAAUGAAAUGGGAACGGCGUGGAAAGACAAGUUACCCGAUGCACUCUGGGCAUACCGGACAGCAUACAAGACCCCAAUUGGAAUGUCUCCAUACCAAUUGGUGUACGGGAAGACUUGCCAUCUACCUGUUGAACUAGAGUUCAAAGCACACUGGGCCAUAAAGAGAUGGAAUAUGGACCUAGAUGUUGCUGGACAUUAUAGAAGAAUGCAACUAUCAGCAUUGGAAGAAUGGCGAGAGAAAGCAUAUCACAAUUUAGAGAUCUACAAAGAAAGAGUCAAAAGGUGGCAUGACAAGAGAAUCAAGAAGAAGGAGUUCACACCCGGAGAUAAGGUAUUACUUUUUAAUUCCAGGGUAAAGCUUUUCGGGCAUGGAAAACUCCGGAGCAAAUGGGAAGGACCAUUCAAGGUAAUUAAUUCAUCAUCCCACGGAGCUAUCACACUUCAAAAUGACGAAGGUACGUUAUUCAAGGUAAAUGGUCAACGUCUUAAAUUAUUUUUAGAGCCCAAUAAAGAAUUAGAAGAAAUAGAUGUAGUCCACUUUUAUCUUCCCAUGGAGAAUUAGAGCCCGACCUUUUUAGUCUGAUGUUUUUGGGUCAUAUAUAUAUUUUUCUAAAUAAUUUCGCAUGUAGAAACGCGCUCGGGAAAGUGGGCCCACAGAGGGGCCAGAGAGAGGGCGGGCGCCUAGAUGAGGUGGGCGGGCGCCCAGCUCCUGUUCCCCCUCGGUCUCGAUUUUCUCUGUUAUGGAAAAUGCACUUAUGGUAAUCUGAAUAAUCCCUCGGAUGGAAAGUUUCGCACGCACAUCGAUGGGAGCAACCCGAACAACCCAUAGAGGCACUUUUUGACCCCUAUAUAAACAGACCCCUGACCUCAGUUUUCAAACACCAAGCCACCAAGCCUUCUCUCCUUCAAUUAGAGCUUGAUUAGUUCCUUGCUGAUCCAAUGGCCGAGAAGUACCACGAUGAUUGGGAAGUCGUCCCCUUCAACCUCAACAUGGAGCAUGUGGAAGACCCCGAUGCCCGUGCUCUCGUCCCGGCCAACACAGAGCGACAGCUAGAAGCCAUGCCAUUACGCCAACGCAGCUCCGCCCAAUCUUACCAUGCUCAACCAGUUCUCACCGCACCGCCACAACCCCUACUCCUCAAAGGAUCAUCAUCCAAGACGAAGACCACCAUCAAGGUGCCAACCGGCACAAGGAUCAUUCCACCUAGACCCAAUGAGAGGGUCGUUGGAGUCAAGACCAACCGAAGUGGCGAGAUCAGCAGUAUUCGCUACACUACGGAGGAGGAAAGGCCUUACUUUGAAGGGAUUAGAGCAGCCAAAGUCCGUUUCAUCCCUCCAAAGGCAGCCCCGAAGCACGCUCUCAAUGCUUUUGAGACACCUCCCAAGCGUCGCAAGACUAUAAUGGAUAUUGAUGAGGACGUUCGUAGACUAGAAAGAGUUAUCAUAGACCUCCAGUCCUCGAUUAAUUCCCUUACUAGGCAGCUCUCUAACCACAACACCAUUAUACUAGGCCUUAGGCAGGAUCUUGCUAGUGCCAACAAGAAGAUUAAGGAAUUAGAGCGCCGCUAAGUUAUCUAGAUUAGACCUUGAAGCAAUGCAUCUUAGUUAUCUAUCUUUAAAUUCGGUUUAGGUUUACUAUUAUCAUCGGUUUAUUAUCAUCGGUUUGCUAUCAGUUUGCUAUUAGUCUUUUGUAAUAAAUGUCUCAAGAUUAAUAAAGUGUAUUAUUAUUAUUAUGUCUUGUGUGUCUCUACUUUAUUUUUGUUCAAGAAAGCAGAAAACAAGUAUGGGGGAGAUCCCUCGACCUGCUAAACACAAUCCGACUACACCACUCCACGAUUCAGGUACACACUCUGCACACUUUACACGUACACAUAUCUUGGAUUAUGCAGAAUAUUGUUUCCGACAUGAUAAAUUAAAAAGAUUAAAAUAUUUCUAAUCAUGGUUAAUCUCAAUCUGUGAUAUUUCAUGAAAACUUGCAACUAUUAUAAAAUCAUUUUAAGACCUGUGUUACUUAAGUCAAUAUGGAAUAUGUGAUGGUAGAGUAUGAGUUUCUUAUUCUUGAUAUCAUUGUUACUUGGAGAAUUUAUUUCAAAAUAUUCAAAAUUCUAGCUACCAUCCUUAGUGUUUUAUAUGCCUAAUAAAACUGAAAAUAUUAAUUAUGAUUAUAAAAGCUAUCUACUCUGUAUUGAGUUUGUUCAAAAUGAGUUAGACCCUUGUUGAGAGAUUUAUCAUGCUCCUAAGAUCAAAACAUUUAUUCAGAAAGAUUCACUGUUCCGAAGUAUUAUUGCAUUAGAGGCAUGGGCUAUGCAAAAAUAAAGAUAUUUCGAGGAAAUAAAAAGGAGCAAGUGCUCGACAACCUCGUAGGAAAAAUGGACAAGUGUCCGGCAGUAGAAUUAGGGGUACCUCGGUAUUCACUUAAAAAAAAGAAAAAAGAAAAAAAAUGAUAGCCCAUGGUCCCUCUAAUAAGUAAUAUGCCAGCAAGAGUUGACAAAGGUUUUUAAUUUUCAAAGUCUUUGAUCUAAAAGUAUGACAUUUCCCUCCUCGGAUCCCGUUUUGAUCAGGCAAUAAAUGCAAAGUAAGUAUGCUUGAGAAUUUUUGCAAAUUAAAACAACCUUAGUGAGAUAUAUAAAAGAUAAUGAGUGAUCUGAGAAGAACCUAUGAGGAUAAAAAGGUAUGCUAACUUUCUUUCAAAAAUAUACAAAAACUCCAAGUGACAGGAUUGAGAAGAAAGGAUCUUUACUCUUAACCAUAAACUCUCCUGACUAUGGUACACAGUGGACUUUUAACACCCUGCAGUUAUAAAAAGAAUGUUUUAAAAUGUUUACCCCAGAUAUUGUUCUUAACCAUCCUUUUCUCGAGGAUGAGUAAAAGCCUAAGUAUGGGGGUAUUUGUUGACGGUUCUUAAGUAUUAAUUUUAAUUAUCAAAUAAACAAGAGAAAGGACCAAUAUGCAAACAACACCUAGAAUUAGGGUUUGAUCUGACAGAAUUCCACGAGUUUUGUUGUUUAUCUGUUUCUGUAGGGGGUUAUCAGGAAAUAAGGAAGAAAGGCCCACAUGUCAGGAUUACAUAGAGAUAUCAACGCACCGCGCGAUUUUCUACCAUCUAGAAGACUCCAGAAGCCACGGGAAGAAGACAGAGGCCGAAAGGGGCCAGGCCCAGGGCGCCCGCCCUGGUGACCUGGGCGCCCGCCCCCUGCUGGAUCCUGUUUAGGACUCUCUUCGCACGGGAUGUUCCACCGACCUAUUGGAUCAAGGAAAACAUUGUACCACCUCGCCUACCGACCCAAAAACGCAUAGAGGAGGAGGACUAUAUAAGGAGACCCCCCUGGCCCCUGGAGAAGACAAGAAAUUAUCAUAGAGAUUGAGGGGUGCCAUCGAAGGAAAACCUCUUCUCUAAUUAAUAUUUCUUUUUAGGCUUAGCAACCAAUGUAAAAGUAGAAAUAGAUCUUCUAGUUUCUAUUAGAUUGAGAGAGAUAGAGUGGAGGUGUAGAUUGGAGGAAGCCCGGCCUGUCGGUGUCUACUCCAAGCUUGUACCUGCGGGAUCAAGUUCUCCUAAUCCGAAGCUUGCUCCUAGGAUUCUUCGGUAAUUCGACUUCUAAAUUCUAGUAAGUUCUUGUUUUAUUGUUCUUAUGGUUUAUGAGUUUACUUUAAUCUCUUCGUG